rnacentral:lncRNA from 1 species
UAAAGCUUGUCAAAAGCAUUUUAGGUCCUUGAAGGGUAUCUUUAACUUUUAAAAUAUUGAAGCAGAAUGGUAUUCUGACCAAAAUUCUCUUCAAGUGAGUACGAAUUUUCUGCCUAAUUCAACAAAAGAGGUGCUUUUACUGUCACGGAGAAAAAAAAUUGCAUCAUCUUUUUGUUUGUAUUGCUUUACAAAUGUCAACUUUCUGUAACCUUAAUUUGUUGCAAGUCUUCCAAAUGGACAGAUAACCUAAUCUUUUCCCUCUUCUGAUUCACUCUUCUCCUCCAACCCUAAUCCUGGUAGCUCCCUCUGGUUAUUUUUUUUUUUUUGGGGGGGGGGGGAGGGAAAGGAAGUACAAAAAAAAAAAAAAGCUUAUGAAAUCAAUCUAUGCUUAUCUCAGCGUCCAAGAGAAAAAAAAAAGGAUGUGUUCUACCUGCUUCUAUUGCCAGUAUUGUUAUCUUGCUUUUUAAGUAGCUCAGCCUUUCAAACCCUUGUAAUCUGUCUCCCAUUGUUUCUCCAUCUCCCAUAUCCCAGUGGCUGAUUUUUCUUUAGCCUUUAAAGUAUCUUUAUGAGAUUUUUCUAUUUCUUAACUUUUGUUGUUAGUAUGAAGCUCUUUUUUGACGUUUCUGUUAGAGCAUCAAGUGGACAUUGACUGGGAUUAUUUGCAGGUUUUGCAUUUGCUCCGACGAUAUUUGGGUGAAUAUGUUCAUGGUCUCUCUGCAGAGGCCUUAAGGAUUAGUGUUUGGCAAGGUUUUUCUAAUCCUCUGAUACUUUUUUUUUUUUCAAUGUGUUUCAUGCUGAAGUAGUAACCCUUCGCUCUUCUGGAUUAAUUUAAAUUGAACUGUACAUGUAGAUAUAAUGGUACCUAUUAUUUCUAGACAUUAUUUUUUAGAGUGUAAAAUGAAGUGCUGAAGAGAUUUUCAUGGCAUUUGUUGACUUGGAAAAAGCAUAUAACAGAGCUUAAGAAUUAUGUUAGGGUGAAAAUAGGAGCAAACUUUUGACGCCAUGACCACACUGAGAAAACUAUAGUCUAUCUAGUUAAUUUUUGAUUGUAUUGAUGAUUAAUUUUCCUUUUAUUUCAUGAUGAUACUGUGCAGCUCUUACAGUUAAAGCUGCUGAAUUUAGACAAGACUUUUGUAUUGAAGCUCUUGGCAUGAGAAUUGAGUAGAUGCAACAUUUUGAAUAUCUCAGUUGUAAUUUUUGAACGCAUACGAAAUUUUGGCUUGAUUUGAUACAUACAUACAUGCAUACAUAUGUAUGAAUGUAUGUGUGUCUAGUGAGAGAGAGAUUGAUUCUGGAAUGAAGUGACUCAUCGAAUUUAAGCUGGUUAGGUAAAUGAAGAGCUUAGAAGUGAGAGAAAUUCAAAGGCACUGGUUUUUAGUACACAAUAAGUAGCUAAAAUGCAUGAGAAUUGAGUAGAUGCAACAUUUUGAAUAUCUCAGUUGUAACUUUUGAAUGCAUAUGAAAUUUUGGCUUGAUUUGAUACAUACAUGCAUGCAUGCAUACAUAUGUAUGUGUGUAUGUGUGUAUAGAGAGAGAGAGAUUCUGGAAUGAAAUGACUCAUCGAAUUUAAGCUGGUUAGGGUAAAUAGAAGAGCUUAGAAGUGAGAGAAAUUCAAAGGCUGAAUGGUUAGUACACAAUAAGUAGCUAAAUUGCGUGUGAUCCUGUACUAGGUGACUAAGAGAUGCAAACCAGAAGACUUGUGUUUAUAAUACGAGAUUGCUAGCAUGUUAUGGGUGUGUAGCUGAAAGUCAAUAUUAGAAGAGAGUGAUUAUUUUCCUAUUAAGUUGACGAUUGGCACUUAUAGGAUUAAGUGAAAAUCUGUUGUAUUUGGGAGUUUUUAUGGUAAAAAAAUAGUGUGUAGGUUAAUGAUAAGAAAAGCUUGAAAAGUCUGACUUGAAAAGGAGGUGCAUCAAAAUGACCUGUAAUCAUGCAAUGGAAGGAAUAUAAACUUGGCUGGUAAAAUCUAUUACCCAGGGAGUACAAUAGAAGAUAGUAAAUCAUAGCUGGUGGCAUAUAGUUUAAGAUGAAAUUUUUGUUCAAGAUCUGAUCCAUGUCAGAAAGGAUGUGGCAAUUGUUGAAAGUAGCACGUUUCUUCUGUAAUCAUGGUGACUUUUUUGUUCAGUUCUUGUAAUUUUCAAGGGUGUCCAAGUGAACAAUAAAAGAGUCAUAUCUAUAGGUGUGUUUUCUUCGCAUAUUAUUUCUGUACAAUUAGAAAAGAAGAAAAAAGCCAUGUUGCAGGUUUUGUCAUCUCUUUCAACCAGAGGUCUUGGUACCUAUACUCUCUUUUUACUUAUUAACAGUUAUUCUGUUAGUCAAAGAAGAAUAUAAAGCUCACUGAUUUGCGUCUGGGCUUUUUACUUAUUAACAGUUAUUCUGUUAAUCAAAGAAGAAUAUGUAGUUCACUGAUUCGCUCACUAUACGCUGUGUGCUUUUGUUUCUCUCUCUCCAACUAUAUUGUUUAUACUCAAGAAUAACGUUGGUUAUGGUUAUCACUUGCCAUGGAUUUUACUUCUAUAGGUGAUGUGGUUCUGAAAGAUCUGAAAUUAAAGGCAGAGGCUCUAAACUCGCUCAAGCUUCCUGUCACGGUGAAGGCUGGUUUUGUUGGUACAAUAACUUUAAAGGUAUUCACUUGGUCUCUUUUUACUGUGUUGCUACUGCCAGAACCAUAUCCCCAUAUUCUCCAUCGCUAGAAAUAAGAAUUGUCUUGUUCAUGACUUUUUUCUUGCAUUAUUCUGUUUGAGAACUUACAGUUUUUAAUCUGUUUGAGAGCCUUCUAUUGUGUAUAUAUUUUAUAUCUGUUGCUUUAUAUGCAUUUCUAACAGCCAUUGCUUUAUUCGUGGAGAAUUACGAGUUGCCAUUAUUGAAUGAUGCCAUGUUUAUUACUAUAUGCUUAUUUAAGAAUUUUCUUAAUUUCUGUUCAUUUUGAGAGUAGCUUUGGGAGGUUUUUAAAAAAUCUACUUGAUCAUUUUAUCUAUGACUGUGAAUUCUUUUUUACUUAUUUUUAUUUGAACUGACUAUAUUCAAUAGGUUCCUUGGAAAAGUCUUGGAAAGGAGCCAGUAAUUGUGCUUAUUGAUAGAGUAUUUCUCCUAGCUCAUCCAGCGGCUGAUUCAAGGUCUCUUAAGGUAAUGAGGUAUAUUUUGUUCUGUAGAAAUGCUUACUCCCUGUUCAUCCUGUUAAUGGUAGUUGCUUUUGUUUCUUCUUCUCACCUUUGUCUUUAUAAGGAAGAGGAUCGUGAAAAGCUUUUCCAGGCCAAACUUCAACAAAUUGAGGUGAAGAUUUUUCAUGCUUAUGCAUCUUUAUGUUUUAUUUUUGCCUUCUUUCAUUUUGAUAUUGACAUAAUAGUAACUGUAAAGUUGGUUUGUACGCUUUAGAGUAGUUAGGUUGCAAUGCGACCCACAAUUUGGUGACAAGAGCCAUUGCCUGUGAAUUGUGCCUUUACUGUUACAUGAUCUUUAUGAUUCUUCGACAACAUGUGUUAGUAUCUUUUCUGCUAUUUAACUUGCAAAUGAUUUCUUUGUGUCCUUAUUUGGCAUUAAAUUAGAUGCAUACCAGGCUCUUCAUGAUGGAAUUAUGUAUUCGAUAUAUAAUAAAGCAAAUAAUGGCCUUCUACUACUUUUAAGGUGCUGUUUUUAACCUUGUUUCUUUCGUCUUUUGUUUUAAUAUAACCAUCCCUAUGAAUGGAAUUUUUUUUUACAACAGUUUCUCUAUUGUGUAUAUAAUGAUGUAAUGGAAAAUUGUUCAUUUGUAGUUAUUGCAUGUUUUAUAUUGUAAUUGAGGAUUGUUCAUUUAUUCUUUGGCUACACUGGUGCAGUAUGCCCCGACCUAUGAAAUGUACAAAAGCCUUUGCCCAUACUUUUGCCUUCUGGGAUAAUUAUAUGGAAAAAGCUUGUCUGGCAUAUAGGUGCAUAGAUAGACACUGAUGUUGAUGUUCCUGUAAGUGAAAAAAGUUAGAUUAAAAUGGAAGGGGCAAUGAUAAAAGAAAAAAUCUAUGAUAUAUUUUUGGAGAAUAUGGUAAUUGUUGCUAAUAUUUAACCGUAUGAAGUGGGUUUUUGCAAUACCACUCAAGAAUGCUUCUGCCAUUUUAUUAACAAAACUACGUGUUUAUUUAUGUAGGAAGCAGAAUCGGCCACCCUUGAAGCAUUAUCAAGAUCAAAGCCUGGAAGCGUAUGACCCUGGAUACUAGAUUUUGCACUAACAGUAGCUAUAUGAUCUCUGUAUUAUCUGCUACAAAUGUAUAUCAGCUUUUGAUGCAUUACAUCUCACGUGGAUGGUGUUAUCAUGAUAUUUUUGUUUGGUUUAAAAUCUUGAGUAAGUUGCUAUGUUAUUUUGUGCUAAGAAUUUGACCAUCCCUUUUGUUACUGAUGUAUUGAGAGGAUAGAAUUAUAUCCUAUAUUAAUAAUCCUCCUCCUUCUCGGGUCAAAUGCAAUUAUAUCCCACUAAGGUUGAUAUAUUUUUUUUCUCCAACUAAGGUUGAUAUGUAAGCACAGUUUCUUUUCAUCAGAUUUCUUGAUGUUACAGGCUAAUGAAAACCUUUUUGGUUAUUGUACUACAAAGUAUUGCGUUUUUCGGUCUUUGGUUUAGUUUGAAGUAUAAGAUUCUAAUAACAGGGAAAAGCCUUGAUGCAAUACUACACUGUGCAUUUCUUUUUUCUUAUUUUCCUUUUUGAGUUGGAUCAGGUUUGAUAUGUACUGAGAACCUCUGGACUGCAGUCUGCUGGUCUUAAGAUAAAUGUAGACUUUUACAUUAUUUCAUGAACUUGUCUUUCCUUUUUUGGGAUUCCAGCUGUUGACAUGCAUCAAAUUAUCAAGGGUAGAAUUGCAUCAAGGCCUGUGUAACUUCCUUUUUCCUUUUUUUUUUUGUGUGUGUGUGUUAAGCGGUUGACCAUCCCCUAUGCUGUUGAUGUAUUGAGAGGAUACACCCUGCAUUAGUAAUCCUCCUUUGUUUUCGGUCAAAUGCAGUUUACCUCACUAAGGUUGAUAUGUAAGCACAAUUUCUUUUCCUCUGAUUUCUUGAAGUUACAAGCUAAUGAAACCAUUAUGGUUAUUGUACUAAAAAGUACUGGGUCUUUCUUUGCGGUCUUUCGGUUAGUUUGAUGCAAUUACGAAAACAGUGGAUUGGUACUAUCAGAUUCUAACAAUAAGGCCUAGCCUUGAUGCAAUACUACACUGUGCUUUUUUUUUUUUGGAGCUGGAAAGUCACAGGUUUGAUAUGUAAUGAGAACCUCUGGUUUGCAGUCUACUGUCCUAAGUUUCAUAAAUGUUGACUUUUACUUUAUCUCAUGCACUUGUCUUUCCUUUUAUGGAAUUCUAGCUGUUGACAUGCAUCAAAUGAUCAAGGUUAGAGUUGAAAAAUAAAAUGAUAGUGAAUUGACUCCUAACUGAAACUAAGGUAUGCUUGGCAUAAUUUCUCCAGGGAAGUUUACUUAGAAAUUGGGCUUUUCAAAUGGGGCUUAUGUAUUGGGCUUUCAAGAUAGAAUGUAUUUGUGCUUGUACAUUGUACGGAGUUCUUUUACUUAUUAAACAACAUUUAUUCACUUAAAUGUUGCUUGGUGAAACAAAUGGAGAAGUGCAAAUGAGUUUGUCAUUGACAAAGUAGUCUAUGUCUUGUUAGUCAUUUCUUGAAAGUUGUGAUAAAACAACUAUUUACCAUUCUUUUAGUGGGUUGCAAUCUCUAGGAGUCUAUUCUAAGGAAGCAACAACUAUGGCUUACUGGGGAGCCCUUCUCUACUUCCCGCCACAUUGUUAUGUUUCUCGAAGUAUCUUUGUGCUUUUAGUAAAGCCCAUGUGUAAAACCUAGCAAAUCAAGUUGAGGACCAAACUGUAAAGAGUUUACCUAACACUCUUGUCAGCUUUCAGUUUCACUUGACAAUUUAUUUAGCUUGUGUUUCUGGUUAUUCUGGAACAUUGUUGAGAGUGUUUACUUUUGGUGAUGUAAUCUUGCAUUUGUCAUUUUGCAGCCAUCACCUGGUAAUUCUUGGCUGGGAUCAUUGAUUGCUACUAUAAUUGGAAAUCUCAAAAUUUCCAUUAGCAAUGUUCAUGUCCGCUAUGAAGAUUGGAUCAGGUCUGUUUUUGUCUUUGACUUGGAUGUCCUAGUUAGGGUUUUCCCAUUAUCUAAGUUAAUUGUUUGCUGCAACUGCAUUUCUAUUUCUACAGCAAUCCGGGACAUCCCUUUUCAUGUGGUGUUACUCUUGCAAAACUUGCUGCUGUUACCAUGGAUGAGCAAGGGAAUGAAACCUUUGAUACAAGUGGGGCUUUGGAUAAGUUACGGAAGGUUGGUUAUUUGUCCUUAAAGUAGAGGUUGUUUGCAGAGCAUCACUUGCAGUGAAAUGCUAGGCUUAUAUGACUUUGUCCAUUUUGAGGAUAUUUCAUCAAGAAAUCCUGGAUGUUUAAAUUAAUAUAGGUUUCCUUCCCACAUGAUAGGAGUAUAGAGUGAAUUUUGUACACAGGUCACUAAUAUUCUAUGUUAAAUUUUUGUAAUCCCUGCUUUACUAUGACUUCCUUUGUGUUUCUGAAAGUAGCAAGCAUAUGAUGCUGAAGUAAGAUAAACUGCUGAAUGUUUAAACUGUUAUGUGUGGAGAAGCUGCUUCUAUUAAAUAUAUUUUCAAUCUAGUCAUUCAACUUUUUGUCAGUUGUUUAUUCAAAGACGUUGCAUUCUCGAACUACUGUGCAUUUGUUGUUAGCUAUUGGUUGGUAAACUUUAUUUACAGUAGGCCAUACUUUCUGCUGUUGGUUUAACAUUGGUUGACAAGAGUUAUUGUCAUUGCAUUGCUCUUUCUACUGAGUUACAAGUUUUUGAUGGUGAUUUGUCUUUAUAUAUAUAUAUAUAUAUGAUGAUAUUGAAUAAAAAUGUUUCCUUGUUAGAGGUGUAUGGACCACGUAAUUGAAAGGAUAUAGUUGACCCUGUGAUUUAUUUGGCUUAGCAUGAAAUUAUGGGUAUGUUUGGAUUGGUAUUGUUUUCAAAAAAUUAUUUUCUUGCAUCACAAACGCUUUUUUCAAUCAACUUUUUAUCUUUCAAACCACCUUUUAUCCCACAUACAUCACAUCAUAAAAAGUGCUGCAGUAAUUAUUCCAAAUAAAAUUUCAAAUAAUAUCCUAUCCAAACACACUUGUUGUUUUUGUAAGUGGCAUUAGCCACUGAUUUAACACACUAUUUUAACUAAUAUUGACGUAUGAAAAUUGGCCAUUGUGAUUUGAUAUUUGUUUGAAUUGAUAUGAAUCAUAUCUCUUGAGUACUUCAUGAAAUGAAUUCAGUACUUUUUCAGAGCCAUGAAUCCACCUUGACUAUCUGGACUUCCAUGUUCUCAGUAUAUUGUGUGAUUUUGUUGCAGCAAAUGACUUGAAAUGUCUGCCUGUAGAAUUGUCUUUCUUUCCAAAGUUCUAUAUAGGACUUGGCUACGCAUCUUUGUUUAGAAUAUUUGGACUAACUUCGUACAUUCUUGUUGUAGUCAUUGCAACUUGAAAGGCUUUCUGUGUAUCAUGAUUCCAACCGUGAUCCUUGGAAGUUGGAUAAGAAGUGGGAGGAUCUUAGUCCCAAAGAGUGGGUUGAGGUAUAUAAUCUUCUUGCAAGAGUUACUAGCUACAUCUCAUGUUCUGAUUUUCCCUUUAUGUUAGUUACAGAAGCAGUUAGGGAAGGGAUGCGACUUUUUUUAGCGGAUAUUUUAAUUUUGCAUAGUCAGUUUCUUGAUGCAUGCUUUCUCCUGUUUCCUUUUAUUAUAUUUUUCCUUAUACUGACUUUGUCUAUUUUAGAUCUUUGAAGAUGGUAUCAAUGAGCUUCCAAAUGGCAAUUCUUUGGUGUCUGCAUGGUCACAAGAUCGCAACUUCUUAGUGUCUCCCAUCAAUGGUGUGCUGAAGUAUCACCGUCUUGGGAAUCAAGAAAGAAAUGAUCCAAAUAUUCCGUUUGAGAAGGCUUCUCUUAUUGUCCCUGAUGUCUCCUUGGCGAUUACAGAGGUUAUAUGCUGUGGUUUGCUGCAUUAUUCUAUUAGUUUAUACCGACUUGCGUAUUGCAUCUUGCAUCUCUCUUAUUCUCUGUCUCCUAUGAAUUCCACCCCCAAAAGAAAAAAAGAGAACACCUCCACAACCAAAGCUCAGUACGAGAAAUUUUUAAUUCUGCCUCCAAAACUGGCUUGAAAAAUUGUCUGUCUGAAUGAAAAUUGUGUAUGAUUGCUGGCCAAGACCAUCUGAUCAUUGUUUUUUUUCUGUUUGGAGCUCAUUAUUUGUAACUCUUCCAAAAUUUUUCCUUUCUCCCGUCCUCUUCCUCUUUUUCUUAACAAAGAAAGUAUUUUUUUAGUCAUUAUUGUUUUUUCAUUUUUUAAAAAUUGUCUCCUCCAUUUUGCAACAAUGAAUGUAAUGAACUUUCCUUGUAGGCUCAAUAUCAUGACUGGAUAAGACUUAUGGAGGUGAUUUCAAGAUAUAAGACAUAUGUUGACAUCUCUCAUUUAAGACCAAUGGUUCCAGUUUCAGACAAUGCAACAUUAUGGUGGCGAUAUGCUGCUCAGGCUGGAUUACAGCAGAAGAAGAUGUGGUAACUCAUAUAUUGAACAGUAGUGCAAUGUUGCUAAAUAUGUUAGUUUAUACAUGAUUUUCCUCUUGCUCCUUUUACACAAGGUUUUUCCUAUUUAAUUGAAUACGGACUUCAGUCCCUAAAUUAUGUAUCUUAAGAAUUGUGGUCAUUUAUGCAGUUGGUUUAUACUCUUAUCUAAAGUUUUAUACUAGUAUUAUUCUAUAAAUUAGUUUGAUUAACGCAUUCUCCUUGAUAUUUCAGUUACCGACUUUCAUGGGGCCAGAUUAAGUGCCUGUGCAAUCUUCGUCGACGUUAUGUGCUGUUAUAUGCUACUUCAUUACAACGGUCUUCAAAUAUUGACAACUCUGCUAUCAGAAAUAUCGAGAAAGAUCUAGAUCCCAAAGUUAUCCUUUUGUGGAGGUAUAGAGAGCUUCCCACGUCGCCCACCCCAAUCUUCUCUUGAGUUAAUUCUUUUACAUUGAUGGGGUUGUGCUUAUGGAAUGUGUUCUCAAACUAGUUGAUUAUUCCUCAACUAAGUUGUUGUGAGUUGUUCUUUGUUUUACCUACAUUUAAGUGGUGGGGUAUUCUUAUUAUGGUGAAGUGUGUGCGCACAAAUUCUGCUUCUUGUUCAAAAAAAUAAAGAAGAUAUGAUUUUGCUGUUCUGAUCUAUCAAGAGAGUUUUGCCCUGUUUAAGAUCAAAUCUAUGUGCGCCUUUUGCUCUAUCUGAUAUUGUAUCACUAGCUGAUUCUGGCCUACCAUUGAGUUUUAGUUAUUUUAAAUGGUCUGUUUGUGUGUCAAAACUUCAGAAGUCAGAGGAAUCUGUAUAUUUUGACUUUCUGAAAUUGUAAAGUUUUUGAACAUGAUUGGUUGGUUACUAGUACAUAUGUCAUAACAGGAGUUUUUAGUGGCCAUGGAAGUGAGAAGAGAAGUUGCAAACAGAAAUUUAUUAAGGUUAUGUCUUGCUGUGGUGUUCAUUUACCCUUUCCUUAGUUGAACUUGAUAAUUGUAGAUCUCAGCCUCCUACUAAUUCUUUGAGUUUGCAUCAUAUCUGCUAUUCAGAUGAUAGUGUUGGAUGCUUCAUGAUGUGACAAUGCUCUAUUAUCCCUAGUUAAAUGGACGACAAAUAGAAAAUUUUCUUUUGAUUGUUGAGAGCAGACUUUAUAUGAACCUGUCAUACCUGAUGCAAUUAAAUCUUCAGAAGUUUUCCAAAUGGGAAUACGGUUGAUGUAUACUUGAUGGUACUUCUGUGCAACAGCUUCUUUUCCCUAGAUAAAUUACUAUGCAUAUGAUGAACUUGUAAAAGAAAAUAUAAUUGAUCUUGUAUUGUCAUGUUUAUAGUCGUGGGUGAUGACUUUUCUGUAUAUUGGAUGUGUCCCUCUAGGUUACUUGCCCAUGCUAAGGUUGAAUCUGUAAAAUCCAAGGAAGCAGCAGAACAGAAGAUGCUUAGGAAGAGAAGCUGGUUUUCCUUUCGAUGGUUUGUAAUUGUUUAUUUUCUUGAAUUUAUUUAUGUUUGUGUCCCUUGUUUAUAUGCUGCUUUAUUUUUCUGAAUUUUUUUCCUUUUCUUGACAAUAUAUUUAGAUUUGUCACUUAGUCCAUUUUCAAUGGGUUUAAAUAGUUCUUUCAAUCUCAGGCGAACUCCUCCCGAAGAUGUCUCAGCAGACAAUACUUCUGAGGGAUCACAGAUAGUGGAGGAAAGAUUGACUAAAGAAGAAUGGCAGGCAAUCAAUAACCUAUUGAGCUUCCAAUCAGAUGAGGAUUUGACCUUACAUCCAGCAAAAGAAAUGCAAAAUAUGAUCAGAUACUUGGUCGAUGUAUCUAUAACUAGAGCUGCUGCUAGGAUCAUCAAUAUCGAUGAUACUGAGAUUGCUUGUGGUAGAUUCGAGAAUCUUCAUGUGUCGACCAAAUUCAAGCAUCGAAGCACACACUGUGAUGUGACAUUGAAGUUCUAUGGAUUGUCUGCUCCUGAAGGCUCUCUUGCCCAGGUUUGCCUUUUGCAGAAUGCUUUGUUUACUAUGGCACGAUUUAAGCUAGUCAUUAUGCAAAUUAACGAGUGUUUAGACAGUAAAGAAAUAGAAUGGAACAAGAUAUGGAAAUCCUGUAAAUUGCCUUUUCCUACACUGUUACUAUUUGAUGUUUUAUAGUAGGUUAAUACCGAUUAGUUGUUUUUAGCUCAACUCGGACUUUUGACUGCUUCUGAUUAAUUUGACGCUUCUCAUUUUUGCUGUUGUUUAUAUUGCACUUUUGAUUGAAACUCAUAGCGAAACUACAAUUCUCGAAAGGAGCUAGUUAUCUCUUAGUAUGUUUUUGCAUUUAAUGAGUUCCUUGAUCUUUUGUUUUAAGGAAAAUUCCAUGAGGUUGGCUCUUAGUUUGCCAGUCCAUCUGCAAAGAAAUACUGUCUUGAAUGCUUAUUGGACAUUUUUAGGGGAACAUUAGGAAAUUAUAAAACAAUUUUUUAUUUGAUGGUGGGUAUUGUGAGAUCCUUUCACCUGUCCAGAUGGGGCAGUAUCAUGAAAUGAUGGUUUACUUCAAUCCAUAGCAGGGCAUUUUUUUUUUUAAUGUAGUAAUUUUUGUUUCAGAGUGUUUGCAGCGAGCAGAAGGUGAAUGCAUUAGCUGGUAGUUUUGUUUAUUCACCAACGGGGGAAAAUCUAGACUGGAGGCUUUCGGCAACAAUUUCUCCCUGCCAUGUCACGGUAAUCAGAUUUGUUAGCAUGAAUUAAGUAAAAGCAUUUAUCUUUAUUAUUAUUUGGAGGUCCUCUGUUUGUUGUUGCUUUCCAUAAAUGAUGUGUAAAAUAAGCCAAUACAAUUGCAAACGGAACCUUCUGUAUCAUAAGAAAGAUCUGCUUAUGUUUUCCCUGGUUUGGUAGAUGCUGCUACUACUUUCCAUAUUAUCAGUAAUUGUGGCAAGUCAUUGUAAAGGACAUUUAUCUUUUAUCAUGCACUUGGUUCUUUACUUUUUGGAAGUAUUAUUGAACCUUUUUUCCUUCUAGAGUCAAAUCAGCAGGAUAUCUGGCAGCAUGAGUUUCUUCAGCCAAACUGAAAGUUAUGCAUUGAGUUUGUUUGGAUAGAGAGAAUUUGGAAAAAAAAAUUUUGCCUCACAAAUUCCAAUCACCUUUUUACCUUCCCAAUCACCUUUUUAUCUCACACACAUCACAUCACAAAAAGUGCUACAGUAAAUAUCCCAAAUAAAUCAUCCAAAUAAAUUCUUAUCCAAACAAACUCAUUGAUAUUUCAGUGGAAUCACACAGUGACAGUAGUAGUAUUGAAUGAAAACUUUGUGCUAAAGUAAGCUCUCUUGCUGCAGUCUCACAAAUUGUGAUCUGGAGGACGUGAAAACAUUGGACCCUUUGAUUUUUUUGGGGGGUGGGGUUAGGAUUUUGGGUAGGGAGAUUUUGUGGAGGAUUCUUUUUUUUUAUUUUAUUGGAAUGCUCAAUCCAUUCAACUUUUACAGAUCUAUGGAUGGACUCUGAAACAGAUAACAGGAACUUAGGAUUUGAGAGCUUCUUCCCAAUGCCAUGCCUUUUCUGAAAUUUUUUUCAUGUAAGAUAGGGACACUUCAAGAGUCAACUGAGAAGACAGGUUAACAAGUUAUCAACACGAUUCCUAUUAGCAUACCCAUAAUUCCACUCAUUCCCUGUUUUUCGGUACAUGGGAGAUUUAGCACACUUACACAGCAAUGUCCAUACUGGCUUGUAGAAGAACCUUAUUUAUAGCAGUCACUAGGGUUAAUUUGGUUAAGAUUCAUCAUCCUAGUGAAAGCAUUGAUUUCUUUGCAAGUAACCUUACCUUUGCAUUGAAUUGGAAGAUAAACUAAUGGAACAAUUUUUUUGCAAUAAUGUAGAGUCAAACAUUUUGGUUGCUCCCUGUUGUUGCUUUUGGAUUGAAUUUCUCAAAUAUUCUGAAUUGUCAACGAUUUGAUAGGUUUUCAUGGAAAGUUACAAUCGCUUUCUGGACUUUCUGAAGAGAAGUAAUGCUGUUAGCCCUGCUGUUGCACUGGAAACUGCAACUGCAUUGCAGGUAUCAAUUUUGUGCCUGUUUUUGUUUUAAUUAUCAUUUUGUGUCAAAAAGUCUGAUCUAGUUUCUUGUUGGUUAACUUGUGAUAUAAUGAAAAAUGCUUUAUCAUCUAUGACAGCAUAAGAUUGAGAAAGUGACUCGUAGAGCUCAAGAGCAAUUUCAAAUGGUGUUAGAAGAGCAAAGCAGGUUAGCCAAUUGAAUAUUCCUUCAAUUUUUUCACAUUUGGAUUUGGUUAUAGAGAUAAGAAGAUUCUUUAUGACUCUACAAAAUAAUUGUAGUAUUUGAAAAUGUUUUUAAGUGGUACCUAAUCAACCUCACUUGGUGUUGAAUCAAAAGCCCAUGUGCUUGAGUUGGAGAGAGAAUGGUACUUUUUAUGGUGUGGUUUCCUGAUAGCUCUUGUUGAGAGGGAAGUGAUUCCAAUUUUGGUGUCCACUGCCUAAUGUUUCUCUUCUAUACCAUGUCUACAUGAUUCGAAUUUUCCUUAGUUUGGAUGGGACUCGAAUUUUAUGUUUUUAAUUCUUUGUCUGGAGUGUUAAAAGGUUCCAGACUUAUUUCUGCAAUCCCUACUUUGUAAAUUUUCUUUUGACUGAUAAUUACCUAAGUGUACAUAAGGAGAAGAGGAGAACAUUGCAUAUUAAUUGGCCAGUCUUAACCAUGGUUUGAAUGCCGCACUUCCCUCACGGUCUUCCUUCAACGACUGUGUUAUAAAUUUGUAUGACUUUUUAGAAUAAACAUUCAGAUGUUGAAGAGGCUAGAUGUACUGUCCUUUAGCAUAACAUUUUUAGUUGAUUUUUAUUUUUCAGGUCUUUUUAAUUAUAAAAAAAUCCCAUUUGUACUUGGUAUAUGUGGAUUUUGCCAUUCUGUCUGCUCUGUCGAUUUGUAUCUUUUUGUUGGUGCUUUACGUCCUCCUUAUUUUAACUUACAAAUUGAGAAAGUUGGCUCUGCUUCUCAGUUUGUUUAUGAAUUUUACUUGUGCUCCUAAAGUCCUUUAUGCUUCAGUUAUUCUUUGGAAUGUUCCAAUAGCUUUCAGGGGUGUUUAGCUCUUCUUGUAAACUGUUGAUCCAUGCUUUGUUUUUUGAGGAGAAGCUUGCGUUUCUGACUUAUUGUUUCGGUCUUUCAGAUUUGCUCUUGAUAUUGAUCUUGAUGCUCCAAAAGUACGAAUUCCCAUUAGAACUGCUGCUUCUUCUCAAUGCGAUUGCCAUCUUCUUUUUGAUUUUGGUCAUUUUACACUGCGCACCAAGGUAUGUAAAUUUUUAUUAAUUCUUGUCAUGACUCUGCAUAUUAUUGGCUAAACCUGUUUGUCAAACUUGCAGGAUGAUGAUCAGUUCAAUGAUCAGGGCCAAAGUCUAUAUUCUCGUUUUUUCAUUUCCGGCAGGGACAUUGCUGCUUUCUUUUCAGAUUGUGGUUUGGAUAGUCAAAGUUGCAGUUUGGCAUGUCAGCCUUCAAUUUCUCCUAGUUUGCAAGAUGUAGAUAGCAUAUAUUCUUUAGUUGAUAGGUGUGGAAUGGCUAUUAUUAUUGAUCAGGUAUGCUUGAUAGAGGAGUAUCAUUACAUUGAAGUGUUUAACAAUCAAGAUUAAUGUUUUAGUUAUUGAUUAUCGUUAUACUGGUUUUUUGUUUUUUAUUUUGUUAUGUUGAUGAAGAUUAAAGCACCGCAUCCAAGCCAUCCGUCAACCCGUGUUUCCAUUCAAAUGCCAAGCCUUGGCAUCCAUUUUUCACCUGCCAGAUAUUGCUGGCUUAUGGAAUUGGUAAAUAUAUUUUAUGGAACAAUGGAAACCUCCGAGCAACUUGUGACUGAUAGUUUGCAGACUGAGUUUGCCCCCUGGAAUCCUCCAGAUCUUGCAACAGAUACUCGAAUACUUGUUUGGAGGGUAAUUGUUUGCUUAGAGAAUGUAAUCAGCACUAGAAUAUUUCUCUUCAUCUCAAUCUACUAAUCAUAUUCUUUCCUUUCAGGGGAUUGGCUAUUCUGUUGCAGCAUGGGAACCUUGUUUUAUUGUGUUAUCUGGCUUUUAUCUUUACAUUCUGGAGUCUGAAACAUCCCACAGUUACCAGCGCUGCUUGAGGUUGACUUAUUACUGUCAUUCGUAUUCAACCUGUUGCUCCUUUUAGUUGAGCAAUUUUUGGUGUACAUAUGAGUGCCAAAUAAAACUCUUUUGUCAUGCUCUUUUGGUUGCCUGUUAAGAAAAGAUUUUUAGUUUUGAUCUGUAGGUGUUCUUUCUUCAGUAUUACUUAAUAUAUGUUGAUGUGUUGCAGCAUGGCUGGUAAACAAGUAUUUGAAGUUCCUCCUGCCAAUGUUGGUGGUUCACUUUGCUGUCUUGCUGUUUGUGUCAGAGGUGUUGACGCUAAAAAGGUAGGCAAUGUGUACUUUGAUGAUCAAGUUGUGGACUAUUUUUUUUUUUGGCUAUUGGACUUAUUGUUAUAGUAUCUAAGUAGUUGAAGGCCUUGAUAUGAGGCUAGAACCAUAUAUGAGGAUCCAGGAAGGCAGCAAAUUAUCUAGGCAUUUGUCUGUUUGCUAGGAUAGUGUGGCAAAGUGAAGGAAAGUUAAAUAUAUUUUUCUUCAUGUAUUUUUGGUUAGUUUCAAUUUUUUCUGCACUGCUCUCCACUUUCCUGCAUUGUGUUUUGUGCAAAAUAGUUGGUUAGACAACAUUUGAAUACCUGCUACCAUAUCACUAUGUUCCCAUUUUCUCUCAAACUUUUUUGGGCAACCAAAUGUGCCUGGAAAAUAAUUUUAGUUUUCCUUUGCCUCGCUUUCCUGCCUUUCACUUUCCCACACAACAUUCCCUCUAUUCAAACACAGCCAUAGAGUCUUUAAAGUAAAGGAUGGUAUAGAUCAUUGAAGCCCAGUAUUUCACCUAUUGUGCGACAAACUAGUGCUGUGGAAAAUUUUGAAGAGUUACCGUAUGCUUUGUAUUAUCACAAGUUUAGAUGAAAACAAACCUUAUUAUUUAGCUUUGUUGUUCAAGACAUAUGUUCUAGCCAUUUCCCAUGCCCUCAAUUGUUGAUUGGCAGUAGAAUUAUUAAAAUAGCUCAAUGAUGUAUAUUCUUCCUAUUGAGCCUCUUUUUUGUGCUGAAUUGGUCCCAAGUUUCUUUGUCAGACAUCAGAUUUUGAUUUGAUAAUAAUGAACAGAUAUAUAAGACAGCAUAUUAAGGUUUUCUCAUGCUUCAUUUUAAUGCAGCGGGUUUUGCACUUAUUUUUUUCCUAAUCCUUGAAUUUUAUACUGGUUUCCUUUAGUUGUUUUAAUCAAAAUAUUCAUUCUGGCUUGAAUUUUUGUUUUAAUUGUAUUAUUGGUUCUGGCUAGAACUUGUCUGAAUUUGAUCUUUGUUUCUUAACCAUGCCUUUAACGUGUAUGCCUUUGCAUUCUUUUAUGGAGAUUUUUGUCAUGAACUCAAUCUUAUGCUACCUCCUUAGGCUCUGGAGUCUUUUAGCAGUUUGAUUAUUGAGUUUCGAGAUGAGGAGGAGAAGGCAGCUUGGAUGAGAGGACUUGUGCAGGCUACAUAUCGAGCUUCUGUAUGAUUCAAAAUUAUUUUGUUUUGGUAGUCAAACUUGAAAUGCUGUAUAUUAUUGUUUUUGUACACUAAUUUUCAUAAUCGUCGGGGAUAGGCUCCUUCAUCUGUAGAUGUAUUUGGAGAAUUAAGUAAUGAUGCAUCAGAGCUUGCUGAAUCUCAUGCCAUUCAUGUGAAGUCAGUUGACCUUGUUGUUAACGGGACAUUGGUAGAAACAAAAUUAUCGUUAUACGGCAAGGUUGGUCUUGUGCUUUUCCAUGCUAAUUACAGUUGAAUUUCCAUUAUGAUAAUCCUAUCAGUUAUUUAGAUAGCUCUUAGUGUAAUUUGUCUCUGCUAUUUACUUGCCAAUUUGCAGUCCGAAGAUGAGAUGAACAGGAGACCUGAGGAGAGUAUAAUUCUUCAGGUUCUUGCUGGUGGGGGAAAGGUGUGUUACGUGUUGUAUACUGGAAUAUUUAAUGGUAUUUUGAAUAAGAUUCUUCUCUACAUUAUGUCUGGAAUAUUCAAUAGUAUUUUGAAUAAUAUUCUUCUUUACAUUAUGUUCUUGUAUGAUGUCCAAGUGAUUAGUUUUUCAUAGGUAUGUUCUAGGCUCACAGAUUAAAGAAUCUUUAUUCUUUCCUAUGCGUCUUUUCCAUGCAGAAAUGGUAGCUGAUGAAAUAAGAAUAGAAAUUUGUCAUAGUGUUUUGGUGCGAGGAGAGAUGGGAAAGUGAAUGAAAGUUAUCUUCUCCUUUUUGACUGUCUGGCAGGAAAAAUAUCCUAUAUUUAUCCUCACUUCUGUGCAUUUUAUGUGCUGCAAAGUAUCCUAUAUUUAUCCCUCAGUUAUAUUUAUCCUCUAUUUAUCUGUAGAUGAAUAUAUGAUAAAUAUCCUAUAUUUAUCUGUAGAUUGCAUAACUAUUUCAGGGAUUAAUUCAGCUUUGGUUCAUCUUGCAAUUGUUUGAUUUGCUUGAGUAUUGAGAUGUUGGUAUUUACCAUCUUCAACAUGUGUUGCUUUGCUCUUUUUAGGUGUGUGUAUCACGUUGCAUAGGUGACCUAUCUGUUAAGAUGAAACUGCACUCAUUGAAAAUUAAGGAUGAACACCAGGGCUCCUCCUCUUCUGGUCCACGGUAUCUAGCCCGCUCUUUUGUUGGGGAUCGAGAUUCAGGCCACAACCUUGAUUUGUUGGAAUCUGAUAGGAGAGAGCAGUUGAUGAUGGAAGAGGAUGAUAACUUCAAAGAUGCUUUGCCAGAAUUCAUGCUCUUGCCUGAUUCUCCUGAAACAUAUAUUGAUGAGAAAGACAAGUUGAAGGGAAAAAGUGUUGCCAGUGAUGUUUUCUAUGAGGCAGAGGGUGCUGAUGACACUGACUUUGUUUCUGUUAUAUACUUGACACGAAGUCCUGCUUCUCCUAAUUAUGAUGGUAUUGAUACACAGGUAAUUGCAUGAUCUUUUUUAAACAUGGUGGUAGUAAACAUUUGGAAAUUAAUUGUUUCAUUUGCUGGCUAAUUUUUUGUUAAAAACCUUUGCAGAUGAGUAUUAGGAUGUCCAAGUUGGAAUUUUAUUGCAACAGACCUACUCUUGUUGCUUUGAUCAAUUUUGGCUUUCAAAUUAGUUCAGCAAAUAGUGGGGCAAAUGGUUCAAAGGCGGUAAAUGUUUCAGAUGAUGAAUCUUCGGUGAAGAAAGAGAAGACCGAAGAAUAUGGGAAUUCAUUUGUUACAGGGUUGCUGGGCUAUGGGAAAGGUCGGGUUGUGUUUUAUAUGAAUAUGAAUGUUGACAGUGUGACUGUAUUUCUCAACAAUGAGGAUGGCUCUCAGCUCGCUAUGUUUGUGCAAGAAAGUUUCUUGUUGGAUAUCAAGGUGUGAUACUGAUGCCAUUUGUGUUGUAAAUUUUGACAUUUAUAUUUAGUUCUAGAGUCCCUGGAUUGAUUAUUCUCAUGUCAUUUGAUGGCUUAUUGUACCGGGCAAUCCUCGAUUCAAUCUUUUUCAGGAAAAGUAUGGAUUAAUUUCUCUUUUUUUUUUUUUGUGCUAUGCAAUAUGACCUGCUUAUUGCUCUUCAUGUUUUGCCUGGACUAAGGUUCAUCCAAGCUCUACUAGUGUAGAAGGAUCACUAGGAAACCUUAGGCUGCGUGAUCUCUCACUUGGAUCAAAUAACUUUUGGGGGUGGCUCUGUGAUAUACGAAAUCAGGGUACUGAAUCCCUUGUGCAGGUACCCUACCAAUCCAUUUCAUAUGUACUGAAUUAGUUAAAAACUUUGAAGUUUAUUGUCUAUUGUUUAUUAACCUCUCUGUAUGCGUGCAUGUGUGUGUCUCAGUUCAAGUUUAGUUCUUACAGUACUGAAGAUGAUGAUUAUGAAGGAUAUGACUACAGCUUGCAUGGCCGACUUUCUGCAGUUCGAAUUGUUUUCCUCUAUAGAUUUGUUCAGGAGGUUAGUUUGAUUUUUUUUUUGUACUGCUCCAUGAUUACUUCUUUAGCUUAAUAAGCAUGAUGUCCUAGAUUCAUAGAUGGAUAGAUGUCUUUUGAACGUGGGCUGCCUCCUCCUUUCUUCUGCAAUGGCUCCUCAAUUGCAUGAAGAUAACAUAUCCCCUCUCUCUUAUGCGUACAAUUGUGUAUAUCCUCUCUUUAUAUAUUCCUAUCUGUAAGUGUGUGUGUUUAUCCUUGUCAGAUAGGCCAUAAGAAAUUUCUGUUAUGCUUUAUAGGAUAUAACAGCAUCUAGGCAUUUUUGUUACUGAUAUAAUAUGGUGAUAUGCAAGAGCAUUUUGGAUAUGAAAGCUACCUACAUCUGUCUUCCUUUUGCUUAAAUUAUUUUACAUUGUAUUCUUUUGCCAUUAAUUGUGCAUUACAUUUUUGAGUAAGAGCUGCAUGUGUUUCUUUAGAUAACUGCUUACUUUAUGGAGCUCGCCACUCCACAUACUGAGGAAGCAAUCAAACUUGUUGAUAAAGUUGGAGGUAUUGAAUGGUUGAUUCAGAAGUAUGAGAUUGAUGGUGCUUCUGCCAUUAAGCUGGAUCUCUCGCUAGACACUCCAAUCAUAAUAGUCCCAAGAAAUUCGACAAGCACAGAGUUAGUGCAUGCUCAAUAUUUUGGUAUUUUUUAGUGGGUGCUUUUAUGUGCACAAUGUAUUCUCUGACUUGCAUUUUCUUGGGGGUUUGCCAUAUACAUGAUGUCUUAAGCUUUAGGAAACUUAUGUUUUAAUUAUGGAUCUUAAAUUUUAUAUGCAUAUAUUCUUUAUACUAAACAAGGCUUGUUUCCAGCAUUUGGACAUAGAGUACUAUAUCUGCCUCACUGCUUUAUUUGACUCAAUUUCUCAAUUUCUAACCCAUUCUUCCAUUUUGCCAACCUUUCUACAUGAUUUACUGACCUUCUAUUUGCAUCAUGCUUGUUUCAUGACUUGCAUAAGUGCAAGAAUUAUAGCUGACUUAUCUUGAAAGAACGAACUUAUUGCAUUUCUUUGAUGCAGCUUCAUGCAACUUGAUCUAGGCCAUUUACGAGUCAAAAACGAAUUUAGUUGGCAUGGUUGCCCCGAGAAAGAUCCUUCAGCUGUUCAUCUGGACAUUCUUGAUGCUGAGGUAAUUAAUUUUCAUCGUUUUCUUAUUUUAAACCAAAGUUUUAGGUACUAAUACGAAUUUUGGUUGCUAUAUUUCAGAUUGUAGGAAUCAACAUGGCAAUUGGAGUUGAUGGUUCUAUUGGCCUACCAAUGAUACGGGAGGGCAAUGAUAUUCAUGUUUAUGUACGGAGAAGUUUGAGAGAUGUUUUUAGGAAAGUCCCAACAUUUGCUUUGGAAGUGAAGGUAAAUUGUGUUAUUAAACAUUGAUUUAGUUACCUUUAGUUUCUUUGUUUUCUUUUAUUUUGGUACAAGCAUCUUUAAAUUGUGUUAUCCUUCAAUGCAUGGAAUUAAAACUUGGAACUUUUAAAGCAUUUUGGUGCCUGCUGUAGACCCUACUUGACUGAUGGCAUUGGUCUUUAGCAUGAAGACCUUAGUUUCCAAUGGGACACUGCACUGAGGGCUAUUUUGUUUGCCAGACUUUGAUCUUAUGAUCUUCUGGGGUUUGGGACAUUGAAAUGGGAUAUGGGAACUUGGCUGACUUGAGGCUGAGCAUUGUGAAAUUUUCCAUCUCAUCGUUUAAUUAUAGCUUGAAAAUGGAACAGUACUUCUUUGGCAAAUCUAUGAAUCUGAAGUUAGAUCAUUCACAUUUUAUGCUCUUUCAGCGUUUGACAGUUCCUUUAUGUCUUACUUUUGUUUUCUUCGUUUUUCAUUCUUUCUAUUUGGGUAACAGGUUGGUUCAUUGCAUGCCGUGAUGUCUCAUAAAGAAUAUAAUGUUAUUCUUGAUUGCUUCUAUAUGAACUUAAAUGAACAACCAAGACUUCCUCCUAGCUUUCGAGGCCACAAGUCUGCUUCAAAAGAUACAAUAAGAUUGCUGGCAGAUAAGGUCAACAUGAAUGGUCAAGUAAUUUUGUCACGAACAGUUACGAUAAUUGCUGUAAAAGUCGACUAUGCGCUAAUGGAGGUUUACCACGGACUUCUUGAGGAAUUACCUCUGGCUCAUGUUGCUGUGAGUACCUCUGUCCAUAGAAUGCAUUUUUAAGCCUAGUCUUCAAGAGUUGACCGUUGGAUUUUGGUUAGGAGUAUUUAUCAUAUUCAUUUUAAUAAUCAAGAAUGUCUUUGUUUGUCAUAUUCAUAUCCUCUUUAAGGAGUAUUUAUCUGCAUAUAUCCCCUGUUCUUGCAGCUUGAAGGUCUUUGGGUAUCAUACCGAAUGACUUCAUUGUCCGAAGCAGACCUUUAUAUUACCAUUCCCAAGUUUUCGAUAAUAGAUAAUCGCCCGAGUACGAAACCUGAAAUGCGCCUGAUGCUUGGUUCUUGUACUGAUGUUAUGAAGCAGAUGUCAUCUGAAUCUACAGCUGAUGUACCCACCUCAACAAUGUUUGUGAUGGAUUGUCGAUGGCGGUUAUCAUCCCAAUCAUUUGUUGUUCGGGUGCAACAGCCUCGUAUUCUAGUUGUUUUAGAUUUCCUUCUUGCUGUUUGUGAGUUUUUUGUGCCAUCUUUGGGAACGCUUACUGGCAGGGAGGAGAUGAUGGACCCCAAGAAUGAUCCAGUUAUUAAAAGCAAAAGCAUAAUCCUACUGACUCCGCUUUACAAACAGAUAGAUGACAUGGUGAUUUUAUCCCCAAACAGACAGUUAGUAGCUGAUGCUGUUGGUGUUACUGAAUAUGUAUAUGAUGGUUGUGGAAAGACUAUCUGUCUCUCCGAUGACAAAGAUAACAAAGAGUUUCAGUCAUCAGGAAAUUGGCCCAUAAUUGUAAUCGGACGCGGCAAGAGGUUGAGAUUUAUGAAUGUGAAAAUCGAGGUAUCAAGACUUGCUCUGAUAAUUGUGCAUGAAUGAGUAGAACAUGCUUGUCGUUUAUUUAUAUACAUAAUAAAUCAUUACAAAAUGCACAAGAAGGGUAAAAUUUGAGGUGUACCAGGAGAUAGGCAUUAUACUUUGAAGCUUCGACAACAUAUUUCUUUUAACUGAAUUAAGCUUUGACUAGUGUUAUAUUUGGUUCUAUAAAGGAGUCAAAUAUCUGAUUUGUUAUUUGGUAAUUUGGUGAUUGUCCCCUCGUGUCUGGAUAUCUUCCUCUCACUUUCUUUUUCAACUCUUGGUUCUUUUCUUAGUGUCCUCAAAAUUAACAAUGAAACUAUUUCUAGCUGCUCUUAACUGAUUUCUAAUGCUCGAGAUUUUUCUAAUUUAGCUGUCAAAAUUUUGGCUCUUCCAUGUUAAGGGAAUUGAGGAAGAAGAUAAAAGCAGGCUAUGGAUGAGUAAUAAAUUGUCUGCUUGCAGUCGCCUGGAUGAAGUUACUAUCUUUGGCAAUGAAGUUCCAUAAUAUCUAAGAAUUCUCGCAACACGGUCUAUGAAGACCCUAAUAGGGGUUUGAUGAUGGAACCUCUUAUUGCGUGUGCUCUCUAGAUGUAUUCCUGUGCAGUGUUCUUGAGCAUAUGAAUUUCUGGAGAUAUUCUAGCUACUGUUCAGUAUUUGUUGCAUGGCUUGCAUGUUUUGGAGAAUUUUGAACCUCUUUCUCCAAACCAUCCCUUCUUGAGCUUUCUUCUGGUUUUUAACAUUUUGCUGAAAUUAGUUCAUAUGUCCACCUGGAAAAACAUUGUCUGCUGCAUGUGUUUUUAAAUCACUUCUUUAUUUGAUGUUGCUUAUUUUUCAGAAUGGUUCACUCUUGACCAAGCACACGUACUUGAGUAAUGAAAGCAGCUAUACAGUGUUCCAAGAGGAUGGUGUGGAAGUUAUAUUUCUGGAGAGUAAGUCUUCUAAUGGCAGAAAACAUCCAGAUCACAGGGAAGAGUUGUGUUAUACUUCUGAUGCCUCUGACUCUUUUCAAACUGAAUCAUGCAAGUUGCAAAGUUUUGACUGGAUCUCUGGUUUGAUUUGACUUGCUGUGAUUAUAUUGAUUUUUGGGUUAGUGGCUACUAAGAAUAACCUAUGUUCCGCCAUUGCUGGCUAAAGACUGUUUUCUCAGCUAUGAGAUGACUAGGCUGAGCUACUCAAUCUCCUCUCUAGAUACAUGCGCUAAGCAGGGUCUUGAAGUUCUUUUAUUCCCAUUUUCUAUAUUACUGUUGGCUAAACUCCAAUCAUGUUGCCUUGGAAAUCCUAAAGUUCGCAUUAUUAAAUCUUAUUUUUGUUGGGGCCUUAUCCUUGAGCAAUGUGUUCCAUUUACUGUUGCAUGUUCCAAAUCAUCUGCAAAUGGAUUGUAUAACUGAGCUUUUCAGGUGUUGAAUGUGAGAAUAUUCUGUGUUCUGUAUCAUAGAUAUACAUCUACAAGGCGGACAGGAACACUUAUUAGUAUUGUUACUGGAUUAGCUCUUCUUUUUGCAGCUAGUAUGCCACUUGCACUUCUCAAAGCUUUCUUAUUUUUCAUUUCCUCCUGUUCUGAAGUCUUUCUUCUAAGUUAGCUUGUUAUUGUCAUCAAACAGAACUUUGUAAUGAGCAAUUAGUAAUAAGCGGAGAGAAUUAGGUGGAGUUCAUCUUCUUUGAUAGAUUCUUUGCUGGGAGGUAACUGUUUUAGCUAGAGUUAGGAACUAAGAAAUAAGUGUACAAACAAUGGCCAAAAAGUUAGAGAGUUAGGAACUGAGGAAUAUGCUGUGGAGGAUGCAUUGUUAUGGUAUAUCAAGAGGUCAGAUUCAUUUAGCAUACACCAGAGUGCUCCUCCAAGGAGAAAGCCACAAAAUAUCCGUGUUGUAGGCUGUGAAGAAAUGAGUGACCACAAAUAAAGCUGAAUAAACAGAAGGACAAAAUACACUUUUUAGCAUAUAACUCCCUUAUGGUAUAGUGCUUUACUACAAAAUAUAUACAUACCCCCCCUAUGGUUAAUAAAUAAUUUUCAACUUUACAUAGGGAUUACUUUUGACAUUUUAGUUGACUUCGUUAUGGAAUACAAAUUCUGUCAUUUUGACACUUUAAUCCAAACCAUGAGGGGGAUAUGCAUAGCUUUUGAAACCAUUCGGGGGGUUUAUGUGAAAAAACACUUAAGCACAGGGGGGUAAAGUGUAUUUUGCCCUAAACUGAACGGGGGCAGGUGAAACUUGUGGUUUUGAAGAAAAUUAAACUUCUAUGAACCUAAACAAAGAGUCAGGUUUUCUAUGCUAAUGCUGAAUACUUGCUGAAAGUAUGGUGGAUUUUAGUUGAGUUGUUUGAAGGUGGAUCUAGAAAUGCAUGAAGGGGUCCCCUGGUGUUUCAAAGUCUAAGCAUCUUCGUGAACCUGAGAUUGUCUUGUGUGUCAAAUAUAAGCAGCCUAGCUAUAGUAGGAAUUGACAGUCUAUAGCUUCGGGCUUGUCCAUUAAAUAUUGUAUGUAUUGCACAAUAAACGCCGUUUUCAGUUGCUCAAAACAGGAUUUACACGAUCAUGAUUACAAAUAUGCAAAGCACAGGAUUUGCUUCCUCAAAAAGUUGGAUCUCCAUUUGACAUUUAGCUUAUGUAUUGUUGCUUGUGUUUCAAUACUUCACUCAAUUUGCUUCUUGCUUUCCCCAGGUUGUUUCCCCUGAAUUGACCUUUUAUGACGGUAGCAGCUCAUCCGUUGAUGAUUCUACACGUGGUGAAAAGCUUCUUCGUGCAAAAAUGGAUAUUAGCUUCAUGUAAGACCUAAUAGCAUUUUAUACAACUCAAUUAAUUUAACUUUAGCUUUUCCUUUUCUGAAGUAUUGUGGCAGUAAUCUUCUACAAUGAGCUUGAAUUUGAAACUUAAGCUAAAUGGGAGAUUUCUUGCAUUUUCUUUCUUUCCAAACUUUAACUGUUCAUUGCAAUCUUUGUGGCAGUCAAGAAUGCUUUCUAUUUUCUGAUGCUUGAAUGUGCUGAAAUUUCUAGUUAUGGGUGUCUUUAUUAGUUGAACAGUAACUCCAAACGCAAAAUGUACGAGUAGUUUCCCUGCAGGAAUAUUUGGUUUUGGCCUUCUCUUUUCCGGGUUUAUUUUAGCUGAAAUCUAUACCAACUACUUGAUUAUCCAAGGUAUUGAUUGACUGUCUCAACAGGUAUGCAUCAAAGGAGAGUGACACAUGGAUUAGGGGGCUUCUGAAGGAUCUUAGUCUAGAGGCUGGUUCGGGACUUAUCAUACUUGAUCCAGUUGAUAUUUCUGGUGGAUAUACAUCUGUCAAGGAUAAGAUGAAUAUUUCUGUAACAUCCACUGAUAUAUGUGUUCAUCUCUCGUUAAGCGUGCUGUCCCUUUUACUGAACCUACAAGGUCAGGCAACUGCAGCAUUACAAUUUGGAAAUGCAGAUCCCCUGUCUCCUUGUACCAACUUUGAUCGAAUUUGGGUGUCUCCAAAAGGUUUUUCUCGAGUUUUCUAUUAACUUAUUGUUAUGAGGUUGUUUACGUGCCAAAAUCCAUCUUUUUCUUCAUUUGUUUGCUAGUAAGAAAAAGACUUAUUUCCAUAUUGUUAUGUGCAUAAAAGUUGGAGGAUUGACUGCGUUUUCUGUGAGCAGAAAUUGGGCGUCAUAACCACCUCACCUUUUGGAGGCCUCGAGCUCCUUCAAACUAUGUUAUAUUGGGAGAUUGUGUUACAUCAAGGUAAUCAGAACAGCUUCUUGAUUGGAACAGAAUAUGUAAAUACUUGAUUUGAUAUGCACUUUUUGCUGCCAUGUUUGUGCUAGGUUUUGUCUGUUAAUAGUGGUGAAAUUGCUUGUUACUCUUGCUUGGGAUGAUUAAAUAAGUUUAACUUAUACGCUUCCUGAGUAAAAAGAAACGUAGACGAGUAUGUCCAAUUUUUGCUAAGUGCAAAAAAUCUUCUUAUUAAACUGUAUGAUGUAAGUAAUGAUUCGGUAGCCAACGGCAGCUUUGUUGGCAUAAGUCAUUUUUAAGUGACAGGAUCUAAUAAAGACUUCUUGAUUUAAAGCAGAAACACUUUAGUGACAGAAGCCUUAUAUUGAAUUUCAACUUGACUGUGAUAAUGAUGAUUAAAAGUAUGAGAAGGGUUAUUUCCCGUUAAGACGCAAAUAGGUUUCAUAUUGUACAGUUGCACUGCAAAUAUGAAAAUCUUUAAGAUUCUCAAGAGAGAAGCUCUCUUUUUUUUUUAUCAGUUGCUGUUGGGUGUGGUGACUUAUGAAGAAUGGACUUGACAUGGUUUUGUAGAAGAUAUCACUUGGGUUGCUUUUGGGCUUGUAUUUUUUGUACUUUCAUUCAUGGCAGUUACUUAAGAUGGAGAGGUGCUGAUUCAGUCAGCAUCAUCAUUGCAGCAUUACCCCAUAAAUUGUUUAAUUUCAAGGCAGGAUCCUUUCAGAUGGUGUAUGUGAACUGUCUUGAAGUGUCAACUUUUCCACUAAUACCAUCUUUGGUAUGCAUGAUGCAUUUUUUUUUCUGGGAAAUCUCCAUUGUUUCACCAUGUCAACCUUGGUGGGUUCCCUUGUGUUUUUGAACUGUUGUUUGCUUUGUCUUCUGUAGAUGUUACCUGUUUAAGUAAGAUUUGGAUAUAGAUAUACCUCUUUUUUAAUAUUCAGAUUGUGGUUACUUCUUUUCAGGCCAAGUCCUCCUUCACAGACUGUUGUGGCUGUUAGUAGCAUGUAUGGGCGUGUUCGAAAACCUCUUGAUUUCAAGCUUAUGGGCACCUUUUCUGGUAUUCAAGGAUCAGCGGGUUUAGAAGGUCAUGCAAAUGAUCAUUAUGAUUGUUCUCUUUGGCUACCAAUUGCUCCACCAGGAUAUUUGGCUCUAGGGUGCAUUGCCCAUGGAGGAAAGCAGCCACCACCUACUCAUAUUGUUCAUUGCCUGCGAUCUGAUCUUGUAACGUCGACUAUGUAUUCAGAAUGCAUAUACAGUGCAGCCUCUUGUGGUUCCUAUACAUCUGGUUUUUGCAUUUGGCGUUUGGAUAAUGCUUUUGGGUCAUUUUAUGCGCAUCCAUUCACCUGCAAUCCUCCUUUGAACAAUUGUUUUGAUCUUAAUCAUCUACUUCGUGGGUUCUCUUGUCAUCAUUCUUCUUCCUCUAGUCAAGUUGCAUCGGAGUUCGGUGCUAAGCAUGAGGAUACACGUGAGCUUGUAACUACUCAGGGUACAACUUCAUCUGGAUGGGAUAUUCUCAGAUCCAUAUCAAAAGCAACAACUUGUUACAUGUCAACCCCCCACUUCAAGAGAAUCUGGUGGGAUAGAGGUAGUGAUCUUCGCCGACCGGUCUCUAUAUGGCGGCCUAUGCCACGUCCUGGUUAUGCUAUAUUGGGUGACUGCAUUACUGAAGGGUUAGGAUUCAGUCUUCUGCAUUCAUUUUAACCUUUGAUUAUACCUAGCAGUUCUGUAUCAUUAUUUAUGGCAUAUUUGUUUCCUUCUCAGCUUGGAACCACCUCCCUUAGGCAUCAUAUUUAAGGCUGACAAUCCUGAGAUUUCCUCAAAGCCUGUACAAUUCACCAAGGUUGCUCAUAUUGGAAUGAAAGGUCUUGAUGAAGUGUUCUUCUGGUACCCAAUUGCUCCUCCUGGUUAUGCUUCUUUGGGUUGCAUUGUAACUCAAAAUGAUGAAGCCCCAAAUUUACAAUUGUUUUGCUGCCCGAGGUUGGAUCUUGUUAGCCAAACCAAUGUACUUGAGAUGCCAAUAACAAAAUAUUCGAGCUCAAAGGCAUCCCAGUGCUGGAGCAUUUGGAAAGUUGAAAAUCAGGUUAGGAUUGGUAUGCUGGUGUCCAUUUGUCUCUAUGCCUGGAUUCUGACUGUUUCAUUUCAAGAUUUUAUCCUGAUUUGCACAGACAUGCAAAUUAUAAAAUCUCCCUUUAUCAUUUGGACUCUAACUUAUUUAUUUAGGCAUGCACUUUCCUUGCCCGCUCUGAUCUGAAAAAACCAUCAAGUCGAUUGGCAUUUGCCAUUGGGGAUGCCGUGAAGCCAAAGGCAAGGGAGAACAUAACAGCUGAGAUGAAAAUAAGAUACUUCUCUCUGACAGUUCUGGAUAGCUUAUGUGGAAUGGUUCGUGCCACCUGGGAAAUAGUAUCAGAUUUCCUUUUUUUUUGCUUUUUGUGCAUCUGCUAAUAAGGUAGUUUAAUUUUGUCAUUUCCAGAUGACCCCACUUUUUGAUGCAACAAUCACUAAUCUCAAGCUUGCAACACAUGGGCGGUUAGAAGCGAUGAAUGCUGUCCUGAUUGCUUCAAUAGCGGCUUCAACUUUUAACACACAAUUAGAAGCGUGGGAGCCACUUGUCGAGCCUUUUGAAGGAAUAUUUAAGUAUUGUUACAACCUUUUUUCCCUGACAAAGUUUUUUGCAAUUUAUAAUUUUUGUAUAAACAUCAUUGUUUGCUUUUUGUCAGGUUUGAAACCUAUGAGACAAAUUUAAAUUUGCCAUCAAGAAUAGGCAACAGAAUGCGCCUUGCUGCUACCAGUGUUCUAAAUAUCAAUCUUAGUGCAGCAAAUCUUGAGACAUUUGUGCAAACCAUCACUUCAUGGAGAAAACAGAGAGAACUAGAAGAGAAAUCAGUGAAACGAAUUGAGGUUAAUGUAUCUCUAAAUCUCCAUGGUUGCUUCAUUUUAUUAUAGGUUGCUUACUAGGUUAUUGGGUCUUGCAGGAAGCUAGUCUUCAUGAUGGACAUGGUGAUGAUGCAACUUUCUCAGCACUGGAUGAGGAUGAUUUCCAGACUGUGAUAAUAGAAAAUAAACUUGGGCGUGAUGUUUUUAUCAAAAGAGUUGAGCAAGAUUUUGAUACAGUUGAAUUAUUACCUCAUGAUUCUUGUGCCUCAGUAUGGCUUCCGCCUCCAAGGUAUUCCGACAGAUUAAAUGUUGCAGAUGAGUCAAGGGAACCACGUCGUUAUGUUGCUGUGCAGAUUGUAGAAGCAAAGGUUCUGAACAUUGCUAACUUUUUUCAAUAGCUAGCUGAGAUUGAGUUCUACUGGUUGUUUCAAUUUUGGGUGAUUAUUCUGGCAUUCACAGGGUUUGCCUGUUGUUGAUGAUGGAAACAGCCACAAUUUCUUCUGUGCUUUGCGUCUGGUUGUAGAGAAUCAGGAAUUAAGUCAGCAAAAGCUUUUUCCCCAGAGUGCAAGAACAAAAUGUGUGAAGCCAUCAAUUGUUAAAUCGAAGGAUGUGGUUGAAGGCACUGCUAAAUGGAAUGAGCUCUUUAUUUUUGAAGUUCCUCGGAAGGUGUUCACUGUAGCUUAUUAGAUAUAUAUAUAUAUAUAUAUAUAUAUAGAGAGAGAGAGAGAGAGAGAGAGAGACCAUGAUUUUUUUUUCUGACAUUAUUUGCAUUUCUCCCAGGGGUUGGCUAAGUUGGAAAUGGAGGUGACGAACCUUGCAGCAAAGGCUGGAAAAGGUGCCUGAUGUUUGCCAUGUUAGAUUAGACUUCGUAGUGAUGUUACUAAAUAUUGCAUUUUACUUUAAGUUUCAUUUUUGAUUAAUUGAAAACUUGUUUAUAGUACCCAUUAAACGAAAUGAUUACCUGAACAUGUGACUUGCUUCUUGUUCUGGUGUUUAUGCCUUAGAUGAUCUAAAGAGUUGAAGUUGAUCAUAUAUGUUGGUUUUUAGCAGCCCAAGUUGCGCUGAAUAAACAAAUAUUUGGUGCUUCUGUAUUCUAAAUGGAGAAAGACAUGCUAUUAUCCCUAAUGGUUUUAACUGGUAUAAUGCAGGUGAGGUUGUAGGUGCAUCUUCAUUUUCGGUAGGACACGGUGCAAGUACUCUGAAGAAGGUUGCUUCAGUCAAAAUGUUGCAUCAAGCUUAUGAUUUUCAGAACACUGUAUCCUAUCCACUUAAGAAAAGGGUUAGUCUAAUUGAUGCUAUCAGUCUUUCUGUUUGAAUUUGGGAAAGCAUCGUUAGUGAACUUUAUGUAUUCUUAUGCUUGUUUUCUUCAGGGCCAAGACACUGAUGAUUACCAAGGAUCCGUUCUUGUUUCUGCUUCUUAUUAUGAAGGGAAAAUAGUUUCAAACUUCGAAAGUGAUCGGGGAGGAGGCAGCGAUAUUGCUAGAGAUAUAGGUUUCUCUGUGGGACUUGCUCCAGAAGGUUCCUGGGAGAGUUUUCGGUCUUCUCUUCCUCUCUCAGUAAUUACUAGAACUUUGAAGGAUGAUCUCAUGGCUGUAGAAGUACUCAUGAAAAAUGGAAAAAAACAUGCUGUUUUGAGGAGUCUUGCAACAGUUAUAAAUGAUUCGGAUAUAAAGUUGGACAUCUCAAUAUGCCAUUAUUCUAUGGGUCAAACUCGUGAUCCAAACCUUCAGAGAAGCAAUGCUAAUGUUUUUGUGGAAGAAGUGUUCCAAAAUCAAUGGUAUCAUCCAUCUGGUUGGGGAAAUCACAGGCCUAGUUUGGGAGACGAUGGCCCCAGGCGUUGGAGUAGUAGAGAUUUCUCAUAUUCAUCUGAUGUGAGUGUUUAUAACUUUGCAAGAUGAUACACUUUGCAUUAGAUCUCAUUUUCCGUCCAUUUGAUUUUUUGCCAUCUGAUUUACUUUUAGGAUUUCUUUGAACCUCGCAUUCCGCCUGGAUGGACAUGGGCAUCAACAUGGACUGUUGACAAGUCUUAUUGUGUUGAUGAUGAUGGCUGGGCAUAUGGGCCUGACCAUCACAAUUGCAGAUGGCCACCAAAUUCAGCUACAAAAUCCAAUCUUCAUAAAUUCCGCCGAAGGCGUUGGACCCGUACAAGGAAGCAAGUUAAUGAUCAGGUUGCUGCUAUUACUGAUGUUUUUAAUGCAACUAGUCCUGGUUCUGCUACUAUUUUACCUUGGAGAAGCAUGUCCAGAGAUUCUAAUUGCUGUUUGCAAGUUCGUCCAUGGAUUGAUGAUUCUCAAACUCUAUAUGCAUGGGGACAUUCAGUGGUUCAAGGUUCCGCCUCUGUCUGGGGAAAGGAUCAAUCAUUUGCUGAUCAAGGUGUACCUGCUCGACAGAAUACUAUGAAGGAGGCAAAAAUAUCUACUUCUCCAUUGAGGUUAGAUCAGCUUGAGAAGAAAGAUGUACUAUUCUGCUGUCCUGGCACUGGUGGUAAAAAUUUUUGGCUGAGUAUUGGUACUGAUGCAUCAGUUCUACAUACGGAGCUCAACACCCCCGUCUAUGAUUGGACAAUGUCAGUUAGUUCUCCUUUGAAAUUGGAAAAUAGACUUCCUUGUGGAGCUGAAUACAUUAUUUGGGAGAAAAUAAAAGAUGGUAACAACAUAGAGCGACAGCGCGGCUUUAUAGAAUCCCGUGGAACUGUGCAUAUGUAUCAUGCUGACAUACGAAAUCCAAUAUACCUUAAGUUGUUUCUUCAAGGGGGUUGGAUUGCAGAAAAGGUGUGAAUUGCGAUUUUCAAUGUGUCGUUACAUGCACAUUCCUCAUGGUCCACAUAAUAAUCAAUCUACAAGGUUUUAUUAUCUUGUGAAUAAUUUUUGUUAAUUCACUUUCACAUCUUCAUUUUGUAUUGCAGGAUGUUCUCAUUUUGGAUCUUGCUAGUAAUAGUCAUGCUGCUUCUUUUUGGAUGGUUCAAAGACAGAGAAAAAGGUUUGUUCUUCCAAAACUUUUCUUUGGGUAAAGGUGUGUGUAAUUGCCGUGAAGUAUUUUUAUUUGUUAGUGGGAAUGAUGUAUUGGAAAUAGCCAUGCGAUGUAAUCUUAAUGCCUUUUGAUGUUUGGAAAUUCGGUUUUGUCUGACGAUGUUUUUAGAGUAGUCAAUACACCAGAUUCUAUGAUUGAUAGUUUUGUCAAUUAUGCAAUGUUCAGUAUUCUUCUAAUUUUAUUGUAUUUACUGAACCCGUAAGUAAUUCCAAACCUGUGGUAGUUAAUACUAAGCUCCAGGAAGGGUUCAAGAAAAAGGAAUACAAGAUGAUUCGAUCCAAUAAUGUGUUUGCAAAAGAACAGGUCAAGCACAUAAAAUUUCAGUUUUCCUGCUGAUUUUCUUACUGUAGAAGAACACUUGGAAGUGUAGGUGAAUCCUGUGAUUUUACUAUCUUACUGUUUCUUUUACGGAUUGUGAGCACGAUUAAUCUAUGCAACUUACUACACCAUGUAUCGAACAUUUUCAGCAUGUGACUAAACAUAGAUACCAGGAAUUUAAGCCAGUUGCUUAUGUGAUUUUGUUUCUUAAUUUCCUUCCCCCAGUUAACAUCUGGCUUUUCUUUACAUUGGACUAUUGACUACAUAAAUAGGAAAAGACAUAUUAGAUAAUUAUUUUAUGUGUAGUAUUGCUCCUGAGCAAACUUUAUUUAAGGAAAAUGAAUGAUAUGUUUUGACAGAUUCCAAUAACAAGAUCCAGUGGCCAAUGUUAUGUUGGAUGUAACAAAAAACAUUGGCUGAUUUGGUUGGAGAUCAAUUUGUUACAAAGAGCUAAUUUCUUUGCUCUGUGGAUGCUACUUUGUGUAUAAGUUCCUCUUCUGAAAAGUCCUAAUUUUUUUCUCUGGGGAUGCUGCUCUGCAUAUGGAUUUCUUGUUUUUUAUCCUAAGGAUUUUUUUAUAAGAUUGGAUGACCUCUUUUGACUUUGGAAGUAGGUGAUUCUAAAUUUGAUAACUUACAUACGAUAAUAAAACUUAUGCAGCAUCUACUAGUGGCUUGAUGUUCGCAAAUUGGUAGCCUGUAAGAUAUCUGCUGGCAGUCUUCUUCUUCAUUGUAGUUCAGAACUGCGGGGUCCAUCAAAGUUUAAUAUGACAGCUGACGUUAAGGAAGAUCUAGCUUUACUCCUAAGCAAAGAUAGAAAAGGAGCUUCUUGAGUACAAGGAUCACUAAGUGGUCUUCCAACGAUUUUAAUGCAUAGCCUUUUUGUUGCUUAAAUUAGGUUUGUGAUGAUUUUAAUUUGAAACCUUGUUCUUCAUUCUCUGAUAAAUAUUUGUUCAGUAAUACUCAAAACAAUCACCUCAUGAGUAAAACAGGCUUGCCCAAUCUUGGACAAAAACAGAUUCUGAAUGUCAGUUUCAGUUCCUGCCUUUUCAGGUCCUUGCAAAUUGUUGGACCUUUUACAUGGUAAUUUGAUUGAGACCUGAUCUAUUGCAGCUUUAUUGUGCCUGAUUAUGUGCAGGAGGUUGCGAGUAAGCAUUGAGCGUGACAUUGGGGGGUCAAAUGCUUCCCCAAAGACCAUAAGGCUUUUUGUCCCAUAUUGGAUUAGCAAUGAUACCUCAUUAUCAUUAGCAUAUCAAGUAGUGGAAAUUGAACCACUGGAGAGCGCAGAUGUGGAUUCUCUUGCACUGUCAAAAGCUAAAUCUGCAAAAAUAGCCAUGAAAGCAACUCCUGGUUCAUUGCUUGGGAGACAGAUUAGUUCACGGAAGAAUGUUCAAGUGCUUGAAAUAAUUGAAGACACUAGUCCGGUACCCAGCAUGCUCUCUCCUCAAGACUAUAUUGGCCGUGGUGGUGUAAUGCUGUUUUCGUCACGGAAUGAUAACUAUCUGUCCCCACGUGUGGGGAUCUCUGUUGCUCUUCGUUCAUCUGAAUAUUUUAGUGCAGGGAUAUCUCUUCUUGAUUUGGAGAAAAAGGUAACAUGGAUAAAUGUUGUCAAAGUCUCUUAGAUGGCUUUAAAGCUCGUCUUUUUUCUUUAUGACAAGCGGCACUUAUACAGUUUUAUUUCUCUUCCAGCAACGAGUUGAUUUAAAGGCAUUUGGUUCUGAAGGAUAUUAUUAUAAGCUUUCAGCUUUGCUGAACAUGACGUCAGACAGAACAAAGGUAUACUUUUGCAUGUGCAUCAUUUUUUGGCUUCUAACUCUGCAACCAGGUGGCAAACUGUACUUAAGUGCUCGAUUUACCUUCAUGUUUGUAUUGCUAAAUUUGCUUAUAGAUCAAGGUAUGACUAGUUUCAUCCGUUUAUGUCGUUACCCUAGAACCUUACUGAUUUGCCAGUGGUAAUUCAAGGCCUUUUAGUGAAUUUGUAUCUUGAAAUUGUAUGAUAUAGCCUUAUUAAUUAUAACUUCAUUCCUUUUUGGGUAGUAAUCAUGAUAUUUUGAUCAAAUGAGACCAUUUUACAAGCUGUUGGUGAGUAUGUUCUUUGGCUAUCUUAGAUGUAUGUGAUAAGAAUGUAAAAAAAGACAACAGCUGUACUCUACAUCUCCUAGCUUGGUACUUAUUUUUUUCAGUAAAGAGUGCUGGUUUCAUAUGCAGUGUCUUCUGGCUUAAUUGUGACUGAAUAGUAUGAGCUGUUUGAUUAUGCAGGUCGUGCAUUUUCAACCACAUACAUUGUUCAUUAACAGAGUUGGGUGCAGUGUUUGCCUGCAGCAAUGUGAUACUCAGUCUACAGAAUGGAUCCAUCCUAGUGAUACUCCUAAAUGUUUUGGUUGGCACUCCACAAAAGUGGAAUUGUUAAAGGUAGGUUGUUGCAAAAGUUUUCUUGCCACUUAGUCAAACCUAUAUUAAAUGGAAAAAAUCAGCAAGCCCUUGAUAGAUAUAUAAUGUCUGCUUUAUGUUGAACACUAUUCUGUCUUCCCCACGGCAAAUCAUGUUUUCUUUGUCUUUGCCAAAACCAGUUGCGGCUGGAUGGAUAUGAAUGGAGUGCACCAUUUAGUGUUAAUAGUGAGGGGAUGAUGUCUAUUCACUUGAGAAGUGAAACUGGAACAGACCAAAUGCCUCUCAGGGUUGAGGUUAGAAGUGGAAUGAAGGGCUCUCGCUACGAAGCUAUAUUCCGUCCAAAUUUCUUUUCGAGUCCUUACAGGUUCUGUCAUCUUGUUUUCUUUGCAUCACUGUUUGCUUCUUAAGAGUUUCUUCAAACAGUACCAAGUAAAAAUCUGAUAUGUUUGUAACUUUGUUUAUUGGAAUGAAGAUUACCUCUGCUGACAACUUUUAUAGGACAUAGAGUCCUACAACUGCAUAAUUUGCCUAAGUUUGCUAAUGAGUAUAUGUUCGAAGUGGUUUUGAUGUUUAAAUUCUGAUCCUGCUAAAUAUAGCUUUGACCACUCUUUUUUUUGGGUAAAUGGUCGGGAGAAUGCGAAACACAGCUCAUUCAUUGAAAAUGGAGACUUGUAUUGGGAGGAAAGUCCAGAAUAGUUCUCGGAGAUGGGAAGUCUACUAUUCAUAAAAUAACAUGAUGAAAACUUUAUAACUUGAAGUUUUUUGUUUUCUUUGCUGAAAUGAGUAGUAAAAUAGGCCUCAGUUUUUUCCUUUUGGAUGAAAAAAUGAGUUCUAAAAGCUUCCUUUUGCAGCUGUUUUAAUUCAUAUAUCUUUAUUUUCUCAAUCAUCAAUUAUGUGAUGUGAAUUACGAUUUUCCAACCCUUCUCUAUGAUUUGUUAUCUGCAGUGAAUAGUAGAAGCUCAAUAAUUGCUAAUUUUUAUUUUGUAGGAUUGAGAAUCGGUCUUUGUUUUUGCCAAUACGUUUUCGGCAAGUAGGUGGUUCCAGUGAUUCAUGGAAGUUUCUUCUGCCCAAUUCAUCUACUUGCUUUUCAUGGGAAGAUCUUGAUAGGGAAAGAAUGUUGGAAAUCUUAGUAGAUGGAAGUGACUCUGGCACAUCACAGAAGUACAAUAUCGAUGAGAUAUUUGAUCAUGAGCCUAUCCAUGUUGGUGGAGGAAAUAUAUUCACUUUACGCGUUACUAUUUUGAAAGAAGAGAAAACAAAUGUUGUUAAAAUCAGCGACUGGAUGCCUGAAAAUGAAUCUUCUGCAACUUUCAAUAGCAUUUCCUCUUCUAUGUUACACAUCUCUGGAAAUUAUUUGCAGCCUCGGCAAUCGAUGUCCACCCCAGAAUGUGAAUUUCAUUUCAUUGUUGAGGUUUCAGAGCUUGGUUUGUCUAUAAUUGAUCAUACACCUGAAGAGAUAUUAUAUAUGUCGGUCCAGAAUCUUUUGCUGUCUCAUUCAACUGGACUUGGCUCUGGAAUCAGUAGGUAAUGUGUUCUGGUGACUGCUAACAAGGUUAAUGGUAUUUCUCGCUGUUUGGGCAUUCAUAGCUUCUACUAGAUGCUUUCACGUAGUAACUAAGCACUGUUAUCUUCACAAACCAUUAAUGUUAAAUUAGUUUACUGCAGGCUCAAAAUUAGAAUGCAUGGGAUCCAGGUGGAUAAUCAGUUGCCUUUGACUCCAAUGCCAGUUCUCUUCAGGUCACAGCGAAUAGGAGAGGAGAAUGAUUAUCUCUUAAAAUUUUCCCUCACCCAGCAAUCAAAUGGAUCGUUGGAUUUACAUGUAUAUCCAUAUAUAGGUUUCCAGGUGAGUGAUCUGAUACAGCUUCCUUAUUUUAUGUCUUUCUAGUGAUUACCAAGAUAUUUACUGAUGGUUGAGUACGUACUAACAUCCUCUCAGGGACUUGAAAAUUCUGCUUUUUUGAUCAACAUCCCUGAACCGAUCAUAUGGCGCAUUCAUGGAAUGAUCCAGCAGGCCAAUCUUAGUCAGUUAUCUGAUGCCCAGAGCACUUCUGUUUCAGUUGAUCCUAUCAUCCAGAUUGGGUAUUAAAACAUUACUUUUUGAUCUUUGGAUCUUUAUGUGUACAGCAAAUCUCCAAUAUUGCUUCUGUGAACUUUCUUGUAAUUGGAAAUUUUCAAAUUGACAGUGUUCUAAACUUCUCGGAGAUUCGAUUCAAGGUUACUAUGGCUAUGUCCCCCAGUCAGCGCCCAGUUGGUGUCCUUGGUUUUUGGUCAAGCUUGAUGACUGCACUUGGAAACAUGGAAAAUAUGCCAGUUAAGUUUCUGCUCCUGCUUGAUCUUGUAAUUUAAUUGGAUGGUAUAUCUUGUAAGCUUGUCAGUUCUUCUCAAAUUUUAGUGACUGGUUCCUUAUUUGUUGGUUUCUAACAUGAAACCUUCAGCUAAUUAAUCAGUCUUCUUGUGUUUCUGGUGGUAGAUUCUUGAAGUUAUUGAGUUGUAUGCGAUCUUGAAAGAGAUUUAAAGAAGUAAGAACAAGAGGAAGAUGAAGGAGGGAAGCUAGUACACUCUUGUUCUUACUAUAAAUCUCUUUCAAGAUCACAAGAAAUUGAUUUGGAAUGCUCUCGACUGCUUAAGCAGUCUUCCAUAGUAUAUGACUUCACUGGUUGUAUAUGGAACACUCAGUUGAUAUAAUUUCUUUCUUGUCAUGCAAAGUGCUUGGGUACUGUUGGCAGCUGACUGAGAUCAAUAAUUUGACUGUUUAAUCAGGUCCGGAUUAAUGAGCGGUUCUUGGAAAAUGUAUGCAUGCGGCAUAGUGUUCUUGUUGCUAAUGCCAUCUCAAACAUUAAAAAGGAUCUUCUCAGCCAGCCUUUUCAGCUACUCUCGGGUGUUGAUAUACUUGGCAAUGCUAGUAGUGCACUUGGACAUAUGAGCAAAGGUGUUGCAGCCUUGUCGAUGGAUAAAAAAUUUAUACAAAGUCGACAAAGACAGGUUCAUCAGGAAUACUCUCUUUCAUUGUUAUGCAACAUGGUGGUAAUAUCGAAGAUCUUAUUGAGAACAACUUGCAUCUAAGACUCUGAAUCCUUAGCAACCAACAUCCUCUGUUACCUUUUUAGAUUGUGGAUUUUGUCAAUGAAAGUAGUCGUUCACAUUAUGAAAAAAGAGCAACAAAUACGUCCAAGUACAUACUUAUCCUAUUAAACAGAGGGCAGUUCUCUUGGACCCAGAUGGUAAUACAUAUGAAGGCUUCAAUAUUAACUGAAGAAUUUAGGUAGUUUUUAAUGUGCAUAGUAGAGGUUGGGGUGCAUCUACUUUUGCAGUGAUCUAAAGCCCAUUUCUGUUACAUUGCAUUCCAUGAGAUGUGAUAUUUUGAUAGUAAUUAUCCAUUACCGAUGCUAUUCUAUUUGAAUCUGAAGUAAUUUUGUUGUAAUUUUAAUGUAAAUCAUAUUUUGGGUUUACAUGCAUUCCUAGUGUGAAAAUUCCCUACGCAAGCUGGAAGUGUGACUUUGUACAUCCAAAAACCUGUUUACAUUCUUUCCACAAAAUGCACAUGUUUUUACAGGAUGCUAAGGGGGUAGAGGAUUUCGGUGAUGUUAUCCGGGAUGGAGGUGGUGCGCUAGCUAAAGGCCUUUUCCGUGGAGUCACUGGGAUUUUAACAAAGCCUCUUGAAGGCGCAAAAGCUUCAGGUGUUGAGGGCUUUGUUCAGGGUGUUGGGAAAGGAUUAAUAGGUGCUGCUGCACAACCUGUUAGUGGGGUUUUAGAUCUUUUAUCAAAAACUACCGAAGGUGCCAAUGCUGUGAGGAUGAAGAUAGCAUCUGCAAUUGCGUCAGAAGAUCAACUCCUAAGGAGGCGGCUACCUCGGGCAAUUAAUGGUGAUAAUUUGCUUCGACCAUAUGAUGAAUACAAAGCGCAGGGACAGGUAUUUUGCUUUUUACCUUGCUCAUAUCAUCCUCCACAACCCUCCUUUGUACUAUGGACCAAACAACAUUCCAUGCCCCAAAUCUGGGCAAGGAGUUGUAGUUAGGAAGCAGAGGUAUGGAAAAGAUUGUGCAGAUGAGGGUGAUUACAAAGUGUUGGAUUCUUGAUGGCUUUUCACUGGUAUGGGAAGGAAGCUUUUCUGUUAUAAUGCUGAGUGCAUGGGGUGGUUUGGCAAGGAUAUGGUCUGUCUCAGUGUGCUUUCUGAUUGAGGUUUCAGUGGGUCUUUUGCAGGUGUGGUGGAUGGGAGGUGGAUGCAAAGGCAUGGGAAAUAUUGCAUUUGGGGGGCCUGGGUAUUGGAAUGAUGUUAGAGUAGGUUGGGAGGCAAGUAAGAGGAAGCUGGUUAAUGUCUCUGGGAGUGGGGAGGAGGACAGGAAAGGGAGGGGGAAUUUCAGAUUUAGGUGUGCAAAGGUGGUGGAGGGGGUAAGAACACGAGGAUAUAGAACAAUAUGUGAAAUAUCUAGAAAGUGCAGUAAAGAUAGAUUAAUAGGUGAAAAACAAAAGUUCUGUCCUUAUACACUGUAAUGUGUAUUGUGCUUGACUAGCUUAUCAAAAGAGCUCAUUCAUGUUUUCCCUGCAUAGCAUUCAAUUUUGGGCCAUAAGAUAUCAGUUUUCUAUAGAAUGCUGUCAUGCUAAUUCGAAUUUGAAGUGCCCUGGGAAUCUGAGUAUGCUUUCUGUCAAAACAUUAGGCAAUGUUGCAGUUAGCAGAAUCUGGAUCAUUUUUCAGCCAAGUUGAUCUGUUCAAAGUACGUGCAAAAUUUGCCUUAACGGAUGCCUAUGAAGACCAUUUCUUACUUCCAAAGGGACGAAUUGUUGUUAUUACUCAUCGAAGGGUGAUUUUGAUGCAAGUAAGUUUAACUUUAAUCAAACUACCUGGUAGAUAUCAAAAGAAAUCUUAAUCCUGACUAAAUUUCUAAUCCUAUCUAGCAUUUGAUGGCUCCAUACUCACAUCAUCUUGCUUAAUUUAUUAGCAACCAUUCAACAUUAUUGCUCAAAAGAAGUUCAACCCAGCAAGGGAUCCUUGUUCGGUUUCUUGGGAUGUAGCUUGGAAUGAUCUUGUGACAAUGGAAUUGACUCAUGGGAAAAAAGAUCAUGCAAGUGCUCCACCUUCGCGGCUUGUUGUGUAUUUACAGAGUAGAUCAUUGGAGGCAAAGGAUCAAGUUCGUGUUAUAAAAUGUAAUCAUGACACCAAUCAGGCAAUGGAGGUUUAUACUUCAAUUGAGCAAGCAAGGUCUACAUAUGGACCAAGUCAAUUUCAGGUGCUGAUUGUGUUUUGAUUGAGUUUGUAGAUAAAUUUCCUUGAUCAUAUUGUGGUCGUUCUCUUUGUUUCAUCUUUAAUUUUUCUCCCAUCUUCCAGGCAUUGCGUGAAAGGAAAGUGACAAAACCAUAUUCUCCAACUGCUGAUAUGGCCUCUGAAGUAAUUUCAAAAGAUGGAGUUUGUGUCUCCUCUCCGCAACAGUUGCCUGCAUCAGUACCAUUAACUUCUACAUUUGGAACUAGCGAACAUUGAAUGAUAAAAAGAAAAUAGUUUAUGUGAUUAGAUGUUGCAAGUUGUUACUGGUCAUCCAUGCAAUCUAGAAGACUGCUCAGUUAUUGCUUUUUUUGCAAGAAGUUGCAUCACUAUGAAGGUAAUUUACAUUUUAUUCUUUUGUUUUCUAAAGCUGAAAUCCACCCAAUUCCACACUACUCUCCUUGGGUAUCAGCUAAUUUGCUUUUUUUUUUUUGUAUUUUUUUGGGGGUGGGCCAUGUUGCCAAAUUGUCCUUGAAGGAUGUUAAGAAUCUUGCCUCAGUAUCCAGACUUCUAAAUGUGGAAUCUUUUAAAAUUCUUGGCAUGAAGUUUAAAAACUUGGUUUUAGGUUUCCUUUUUUUUAGCAUUGAUAUUAAUAACCUGAACAUCAAGCGACGAUCCUGCUUCCUGGCGUAUGUGCGUGAUACGGGUUGAAUCUAAUGUCUUCCUGGUAAAGUCUUUUAACGCUUCAAACAUCAAUUUGCCUUGGUUCUGUCCAAAGUAUUUCAGUUUUAUGUCACCAAAAAUGGCCUAAAACAAUGUCACUAGAGAUGAAGCUCGGAAGCUUAAAUUUGAUAGUGCAUCUUAUAUUACUGUAUAUCUGGAUCUCAUCAAACGCAUAAGUUCCAAUCAACACGAGUUUAGGGUAUGACACCAUUGUUUUUGGGUUGCAGGUGCGUAAGUUCUGGCUUGAGGGCAGAAAAGGUCAAAGAGCCGUAUUGUUGAAAGUACUCCCAAUGAUGGGCUUCCAGAUUCUGGUAUUUGUAUGGUGCAUUUUAUGUGUUUUAUGGGUAUAAAUAUUGUACAUAACAUAGAUGGCAAUACAUGAAGAUAAUUUAGGUUAGAAGCUACAGGACAUGUUCUACCUCCCAUUAUAUAUUCUGGGCAUUGGAUGGCUUUAGCCACCCAUUUUGCAUGCCAUGUAAUCUUAAUGUCUAUACUUAGGCUUUUAGGUCCAUAUAGCAAGGCUUCGCUCCUCAGCAGAUAUAUUGUGUAUGCCUCUUGUUUCAUCGGUAACUCGUGUGGAAACUUUUCCCAGAUAAUCUGGAAGUCUUCUUUGUCCAGGAUCCUGUUCUUGUUUUCCGGCCAGUUAUUGAUGCUCUUUAUUCUGUCAUCUACUACAAGAUGGAGCAGAUUGUAUUUGCAAUUUGAACUAUAAUAUGUAAGACUGGUAGUGUGACUGAGAUGGCAUAUUGGCUGCUACGUUAUGCAAAGCUGGAGUCCAAUCAUUAUUGGAUGUCUGCAAGGAAAUCGUUCGUUUUCUUUCUGAGUAGUUAUGAUGUCAAAAGCGUGAUAGCUGGGACAUAUCUGACAAUGUCAGGCUGACAUGUGUAGUACGGUUAUUGUUAUUGUUUGGGGGUUAAUGGUAAUCAAGCAUUCAAAAUGAGGCCUGGCUAUUUCUCGGGCAUGUUGACUUUGAUUUUUUUUAUUUUUUUGGUGGUGGUGGGAUGGAUCAGAUGGUUCAUCGUUGGUAAACAUCAACUUUAUGAAGCUCAAAAAUUACGGGUAAAAUGAAAGUCAAUUCAGGGUUGGCUACAGAUGUACAGUGACGGUGAAGUAAGCGUCCCUCUCGGCUGAGGAGCAACUGCUGCAUUCUUGGUUAAUACGCUAUUCUUGCAAGUUGCAAUCAGUCACAAAUAAUUCCCACUACAACUUAAUAUCCAAAUCAUGUUGAGUGAUUUAUGCUGGACGGUUUCUAGCAAAUUUAGUAAUAAAAUCUUCUUUGUUAUAAAAAAAAAAUAUCAUGUUUUAAUAAUGAGUUCAAAAAAAUUGAGUUGAGAUAAAGGAAUGGGAGCCAAAUCGCGGCCCUGAUAGGAGCCAGGAACUCUUUUCUACUCCAAAUACACAAGGGCAUGAAACAUUCGGGUCAACCGCACAAGACCAACACUGCUCCAUAAUUAACGGCAGAAAACCAUUGGGUGCACAAUUACCAAAUGAAAAUAAAGAUAAACUCUACAUCAUGAAAAAGUUGUGCUGUGGCAGUAUAAAUUGAGAUGUGAUGAGAAUGUACAAAGACCGCAGGCUUUUUUCUUAUGGGGGUUUCUUCAACAGUUUUUAGUAUGUAUUACUAGUAUUUGAGAUGCCAAUAAUGAUGCUUCUUGGGGAGACAAAAGAAUUGCUGAGUUGCUGUAAUGAUUACGUAAUGAUUGUGUGUUUAAUGAUUACAACCCUUGUUGAGUUGCUGUACCAAGCAGUCUCCUGUUUCAUAACCUGUUAUUUCCACACCAUUUUUAAGUGAGAAAUUAUUGUGUGUAUAUUUCUCACGGCCUUAUAGGGGAGAAAAGGGCGGAGCUGAUUACGUUGAUAAUUGUGUGUUUUAUUUCUUACUAGUUGUGUAUUAGAACAUGCUCAAAGGUAAGGGCAUAAACAAGUCUAAUGAAGUGAAAUAUGCUAGUGUUUAAUCUUGUUUGAUUAUUUCAACAGGAUUGAAAUUUUGUUCAAAUUUGAUUUUUUUUUUUUUUUAUCAAACUGACUUUGAGCGAAUUUUUUUAAUAAAUAUUAUCGAAUAUGAAACGCUAUUCAAAAUAUAGUUUGACUAGUUGGACGAAUCAAAUUCAAAUGAUUACUAAACCAAGCUCGAUUCGACUUAGGUGAUGUUUGGUAAAAGGGAAUCGGAAUUAGGAAUUGAAAUAAUUCCAAUUCUUGUUGUUUGGAUUACAUGUAUUGGAUUCAAAAUCUUGGAGUGAAUCAUUAAAAUUUAAGAGUUCUCAAUCCCUAACAAAUUGGAGGGGUUUUGGUAUAUUCUCAAAUUUGACUCAAUUUGCCUUGAAGACUUCAAAAAAGAAAUGAAAACAUAUCAUCUUUAUCCCAAUCUCCAUGAUAGAAUCUUACCAUUAGAUUUUCUCUUUCAUCUUUUCUCUCUCAUCUCAUCUUUUACGGCAAGCUUUCAUCAUCAUCCUUUUCUCUCUUUUUUCUCUAUUCAUUCACUCCUCCAAUCUUUCAUGGAAGCAGCCCCAUCUCAUCUGGUUAUCUCUCCUUUUUUAUUAAUUUCUCUCAUUUUCUCUUCUCUUCUCUCUUCACUCUCUUCCUCUCUCCUCUAAUACUUUAUGGUAGUUGCUUCUCUCCAUUUGGUUCUCUCUCUUCUCUCUUUUUUUUGCUUUUUGUGCAAGCCUUUCUCUUUCCUCCAAUCUUUCAUGGCAGCAGCCUCACCUUAUCUGAUUGUCUCUCCCUUUUUAUUAAUCUCUCUCAUUUUCCCUUUUCUUCUCUCUUCACUCUCUUCCUUUCUCCUCUAAUACUCUAUGGCAGUCAUUUCUCUUCAUUUGGUUCUCUCUCUUCUCUCUUCUUUUUUUCCUUUUUGUGCAAGCCUUUCUCUCUUUUUUGUCAUUCGCUUUCUCAUGCACCACAGAUUGCAAGGUUGAUUGGUGAUGAUUAAGGGUUCGUUUGGGAGUGGAUGAUUUGGAUAGAAAAUAAAGGGAAAGAAGAGAAAGUUAACUUUUGCUUCAUUUGUUAGUUUUUAAUAUGAAAGAAAAGAAAGGAAAUGGAAGGAUGAAUAGUUAUCAAUAUGCUUCCUCCCAAAUCGGAAUGAAAUGGGAAGAAAGCUUGGAGAAAGCUUGAUAAUUUUUUGAAAAUGUCUAUUUUAUCCUUAAAAAGGUUUUGAACAAAUAUUUAAUGACCUUCAUAUUCAAAAUCAUUCCACUAAUUCUCAAAACUCCCAAACAACGUAACAAUCUCUUUUCUUCUCUUCUCUUCUCUUUUCUCAUAAUUUAAGCUUUCCCUUCUUUUUUUUUUUUUUUCUAUCCUAAACUCCCAAACUAAGCCUAAGUGCUAAUUCGAGAGAAUAUGAAUGAAACACGAGUAUUCAAAGUAAGGGUUGGAAAGAAGGAAGCGGGAAAAGGAAAAGAAAAAUAAUAAAUAAAAUAAAAUAAAAAUAAUUUGAUUUCAAAACCUUAUAAAUAUAUAACUUGAUCAAAGUUCUACUAAAUUUGUAAACAUGAUUCUAAUUACAAUUCCGAUUUCUAGACUUGAACCAAGCGCGCCCUUAGUUUGUGUCCUUGCGACUACAAAAUUGGAAGUUCCAACUCAGAAGAGGAGAAAUUGGAUCUUCCUAACCAAAAAGGCUUCCUAACCAAACCUGAAGGAGAAAAGUAGCAGUCAUUCCUACCAACAUAACAAGUCAUUUGGAAUGGGGAAGACUACUAACAGUUUGUUCAGGCCCAGCAGGCGGCGCGAUCAGAAUUUGGGUUUUGGUACUCGGAAGAGCCUGUCCUUCAUUCGGGAGACCCAAGAGUUCGUUCUUCAACAUGCUCACCUGAGUGGUGGACGACCGGGAGACCAAAAUAUCCUACGCUCUCCAAGAUGGCUGCUAAUUGCUCCAAAAUGUAAAACUUAAUCGUAGUAGUGUUGUAAAACUUAAUCGUUGUAGUGUUGUUACUUUCUUGGAAGGAAGAACAUGUUUUCCACUUCUCUCUUUUUCUUUUUUUUGCCCCCUUGAACUACUGUAAGGUAGUCAUAGUAUGGUAAUAAAGAAAAUGAUCUGAGCAGCUGAGCCGAACCCAACCCAUACCACCUGUUGAGUCUUAUAAUUGAUUAUAUUUAUUUAUAUAUGUUGCCCAGUCCACGGCCGUAUUUGCGUCUAAUCAGCUCCUUUCCCUCCUCUACAUGUAAUGAUGGUAGUAUUUUGAUAAAUCAUACCACAAUUUGGUCAUCUCUGCAGAGUUCAGAGAGGAUCAUGGCUAACGAGGGAAGUAUAAAGUUCUGUUAAGAGUAUCUUCUUAUUGCAGGAAUCUAUUGAGAGGAUAGGAAUUACAAAAACCAGAGCAUUAUCCAACUGCCGACAUCCAACACUAGAAAUUAAAUAGCGGUACACUAACUCACUCACCCCUUGUCAACUUGUUGUCUACUUCUCCCAGAUUUUUUUUUUUUUUUUUUUUUUCGGAGCAAUACUUCUCCCAGAUACUGUAAUUCUGUCACAAUAAAUCUAGAAAAUUUCAAUCUGACUGCAAAAAAAAGAACGACUGCUGAAACCAAAGCUCACAAGUGUUGGUUGCAUCUCUUUCGACGACAAAAAGUAGAACCAGAGGAGACCGAGGGUCCAAAUCAAGCAACCCUCUCUGAAUUCUUGCUGCUGAUACUGUUUCUACUAAUAAAUCUACUUCAUUUACAAAUGGAGCUUCCACUUGAGCUCUUUCAUCUCAUCAAGAAGCGCUCAAAAAGGUAGGAGUACCAUACCAUUAUUGUUUGAUUCUUUACAUUUUCAAGCGCACACUUUUUUGGCUUCUUCGCAUAUCUGAACUCUUUCAGAACCCCUGACCCAAGAAAAGUUGCUUUCAAGAACUCUGAUUCACGCUCACUACUUUAAAUUUUUAGCUCUCUCCCUCUAUCCAUCAAAAGCAUUUUCAGCCACCUUUUUGCAGAUUCAUUUCCUUUGCUUCUUUUCUCUCCUUUUUCCAAUUUUUUUUGUUUCCUUUUCUGGAUUGGCGGGUUUUAGAAUUUAGUAUGUCCUGCUUACAAGUUGGGGGAGAUGAUUGCGCAAAGUCCUUAGAUUCUAGAUCUAAGGUCAUGUCCGUAAUCCAAGAAUAUUGCUUUAAAAAUGAAAAAGUGGACUGAUGGUGUUUUGAACUUACUUAUCUAAUUGAUUGCACCAUUGAUUUGCUUUCCUUCUCUCUUUGGUUGGUUAGUUUCAGUACAUUAUCCUUGAACUUGAAGAUGGUAACUGGCCAAAUCUAAAGAUUGAAGAAUAAGGUCUUGUUCGCAUUUGGAAUUCUAACUACAAACUGCCUCGGACCUGCAACUGUUGCGUACUCCAAUAAAUAUUGGUCCAAGAAUCUAUCUCUAUAGUUGUGCGUGCUAAGUUUGGGAAUGAAAAAGUGGACUGGAGGUGUUUUAAUCGUAGGGCUUGCAUUGAUUUUAGUUAUUAGUUACAGUUUCGUUGGGAAGUCCGCCCAACAAAAGCAAUCAGCAUAUGAUUUUUUCAAUAAUCAUCCUGCUGACAAUGCCAACCCGGAAGGCAGGAAGGGCCAUGAUAAUGUGAAAUCAGCUGAGACUGACGUCAUAAAGGCACUUAAUUUUAAAGGAAAGCCUCGAUUUGUCCAUGUUGAAGGGCUCAGCUCCUUGUAUGGUAGCUUGGGGAACUUUUCCAAAGAGGAGUCAAAAGCGUUGCAGGUAUGGAGCCGAAUGCGCUUUUUAUUAUCCAGGUCAGAUGCAUUGCCUGAAACACUGCAGGGCAUCAAAGAGGCCGCUGCAGUUUGGAAAGAGUUGUUGUCAACCGUUCAGGAAGAUAAGGCCUCCAACGUAAACAAAGUUGGAGAGGAUGUAGAUUGUCCGUACUAUGUCAGUGCGUUUAAUGGCACAAAAUCAAGGAGUCAGAAUGCAACUCUUGAAAUCCCUUGUGGUCUUGUUGAAGAUUCAUCUGUUACUGUGAUUGGAAUGCCUGAUGCAUUACAAGACGGUUUUCAAAUUGAGCUUAUUGGCUCAAAACUGUCAGAUGAGCCCAGGCCUCCUUUGGUGUUGCAGUACAAGGUGUUUUUACCUGGAAAGAACCUGACAAAGGAGCCCUUUGUCAUCCAAAAUGCAUGGGCUAAUGAAUCUGGGUGGGGGAAGGAGGAAAGGUGUCCUGAUCAUGGCUCGACUGACUUUCUAAAAGGUAAAUCCUUGCAAAGUUUUAAUCAGAUAGAUUUCAUUUGACUCACUGUCCAAGUCUUUUGCGUGUAUGCUUAAACCCUACCCUCUGGCUUAGUUUUAUUGGCCAUCGUAAUUCAAUCUUGCGCAUGUAAUCUAUAGCCUCAGAGAUUUUCAAUGUGGAAUGCAUGAUUAGCUAGUAUGAUUCUUGUUUCCUUGGUCACUCAACUGACUUAUGCAUUAGUCAUGUAUGAAGCAAUUUAGAUGGAUGAGUCGAGACAAUAAUAUAACUGCCCUAUUUCAUGUUUCAGUUGAUGGGCUAGUAAAGUGCAAUGCGCAGAGUGUCAGGACGGCUAUGCCAGAGAAUUCAAAUGGGAGUAAUCGUAGCAGUGACAAGUUAACCAAUUUUUCUGAUGGGGGUACCCAUGGAAGUGCCACUUUUCCUUUCCCUUAUUUUGAAGGCAUUCCAUUUACUGCCUCAUUGUGGGUUGGGUUGGAGGGAUUCCACAUGACAGUCAAUGGAAGGCACGAGACAUCUUUCGCAUACAGAGAGGUAUAGUAACUAAUAUCAACGUGGAGCUCAAAAUGCGUAUAAUAGGAGAGGAUGCUUAUUGAUCUUUCAGGAAUGAUAGGAAUAAUAUCUGUUGUAUGAUUUUGAUGCAGAAACUUGAACCAUGGUUGGUCGGUGGAGUUGAGGUGAAAGGUGGCUUGGACACCAUAGCUAUCUUAGCAAAAGGAUUGCCUGUUUCAAAUGACCUGAAUUUAGACGUUGAUCUCGAGCUUCUCAAAGCUCCCUCAGUUUCCAAGAAAGAGCUUGUAUUGAUGAUUGGUGUUUUCUCAACUGCAAAUAACUUCGAGAGGCGUAUGGCACUGAGAAGAUCUUGGAUGCAAUACGAUGCUGUACGCACCGCCGAGGUGGCUGUCCGCUUCUUCAUCGGUCUUGUAAGUGAGGCAUCACACACACACUGGGCGGAGCUUGUUUUAGCACUUGCAGCUAUUCUUCGAAAUUACCCAUUGGAAGGUUCACCACAAACUUAAGCCCUACUUGAGGCUCUAACCUGAUUGCUACCAACAAUCCUUUUGAUGUUUGAAAUAUUCGGGCUUUGCUUCUGUUUACAAUGAAUAAUAUAUAGCUUAAGAAGACACAUGCUGCUGAAUUUCCACUCUCUAUUUAUUUACAGCACAAGAAACAAGCAGUGAACUAUGAGCUGUGGAGAGAAGCUCAAGCAUACGGAGACAUCCAGUUGAUGCCUUUUGUUGACUAUUAUAGCUUGCUCAGUUUGAAAACCAUUGCAAUUUGCAUUCUGGGGGUAUGCAAACAAAGCUCUCCUCCACUCCAGAUAAAGAGGAAUAAUAUAUUCUCUCUGUGUAUAUGCAUAUUAUAUAUGUCUUCUUCCAUCUAUCAACACAUGAUGGGCGGCACAUUCUCAUUGUGACACAGACUGAAAUCCUGACUGCUAAAUAUAUAAUGAAGACGGACGAUGAUGCCUUUGUUAGAAUUGAUGAAGUUGUAUCUAGCUUGAGCUUGAAGGGAAAGGCUUCUUCAGACGGCCUUCUGUAUGGUCAUAUAUCGUUCGAAUCAUCACCCCACAGGGACAAAGAGAAUAAAUGGUACAUCAGUCCAGAGGUAGGUAGUAGGUACUACUACUCAUUUUUGUCUUUUUAAAUCAAAAUCAAAUGUGGAGGUGGUCUUGUCCCUCUGUAUAUAGGAAUGGCCGUAUGCAUCAUAUCCGCCGUGGGCACAUGGUCCGGGUUACGUAAUUUCCAGAGACAUAGCGAAGUUCAUCGUUGGAGGCCAUCGGGAAAGGGACAUUAUGGUGAGAAUCAUCAUCAUCAUCACCAUCAUCAACUCGUCUUGUUAACUCCAAAAAAAAAAAACCUCCUUUUUUUGGUGUGGUGGGAGAGUAAAAAUUCCCUAAUUUUUAUUCAUGACUAGAAGUUUUUGAUGGGGUUGCAGCUGUUCAAGCUAGAAGACGUGGCUGUUGGGAUAUGGAUAGAGCAAUUCAAGAGCCUGGGACACAGCGUGAAGUACGUGGACGACGAGAGAUUUUACAUAUCUGGGUGUGAACCAAACUACGUUCUGGCCCAUUACCAGACCCCUCGGAAGCUUCUGUGUAUGUGGGAGAAGAUCCAAAAACAAAAACACCGCCGCCACGACGACGACCCUCCUAACUCCUGCUGUGACUGACUGACUGAUCAUCAUUGUCCUCCGACAAACAACUUACGGUGGUGUUUUUGUGCUGGGUGCAGCAGCAUCAAAUUCAAAUGUGUGCGAUUGUUUUGUUCGAGGAAUGACAUAUGAUUAUUAAAUAAAUGAUAUUGGGUGUCGUGUGUGUGCGCGUGACUAGACUUCCCGCUCCGGUCUCUAACAUAAUAUUUUUUUUUUAAAAAAAAUAAUAAUAAAAAAUUAUGAUCCAAUAACCAAGUACUCCCUCCGUCCCGUUUUGUUAAUCUUCGUUUUUUUUUCCACAUAGAUUAAGAAAGUGUAAUUAAUUUGGUUGGAAACAUAAAUUUAGAUUAAUAAUUUCCUAAAAUACCUUUAUGCUAAUCACGAAGAAUGCCAAUUAAUAUCAGUUAUAGCUAAUGGUACCAAUAAAUAUCAGUUAUCGCCAAUAGUGCACCCUGAUUGUUUCAAUUACCGCCAAUAGUGCCAAUAAAUAUCAAUUGUGAGAAUAUGGAUGGUUUUUCAAAUUUUCACUCAUGAUUUUGUAAAUAAUGAUGGCAUUAUUUGUUUCCCUCCUGAUAUAAAUAAAUUUCAAAGAAUAACAAAGAUAGACUUUUCAUUUAUCUAUGUAUUGGAAAAGCUCAAUGUAUUCAAUGUAGUGGGCUAGUAUUUAAUAACAAUGUAUUAAUAACAAGAUAUUUAAUAAGGGGUAUUUUAGACAAUUUGAAAGAUUACUACAUUCCUUAAUGGGAAAGUGAACUACAAUUUGGGACAGACGAAAAAGAAAAAUAAGACUAACAAAACGGGACGGAGGGAGUAUAUAUUUAGAAAUAUCCUUUUUUCUUUUGCAUAUCUACAAUAAAACUCUUCGUUACUUACUGAAUUUAUAACCGCCAUCUUUUUACUUUUUAACCUUAUUUUGUAUUUUAUUAUUGUUUUAAGCUUCAUAAGUAGAAUAACAUAAGGAUAAUAUUGAAAUAAAAGUUUAACUUUCUUGUAUUUCCUCCGAAAUGGGCUAAAAUAUCACGAGAAAUGCCAAUCUAAGGGAGAUUCUUGAGAUUUUAAAAAUCUAUUGGAUGCUAAGUGAUAUUAUGCAAAACAUUACGGGAGGUUUCAAAAAUCAUUACGGUCUCAAGGUUAUCUGAUCACUUGCCGUGCCGUGCUGGACAUCAUGAUGGUCUACAUACGCACAAAAUAAUGCUACAAUUACGUUAGUGCUCUUGCCUUUUUACGUUUCUUGAAAAGUCUCUUUGUUUGCUCCAAAAAAAAAAGAAAGAGUCUCUUUAUUUUGUUUGCCAUUGAACGGUCGGCAAGUUGAUGACGCUGUGAAAUUGGAAGCAGGCUGUUCCCAUUUUUGUCUCAUCUUGUCGUGGCACCUCUAGGCUCUAAACUAGAGCCAACUGGAAUUUGAUUAGUACGUUCAAGAUGCCCAAAAAGUAAUUAGAUACCACUAAUACUACUGCUCGUAGUGUAAUUUGGUAGAUACCAUCGCUAAUCCUACUAUAAAACAAACGAAACCCUAUUAUACUAAAGUCGUGCUUAAUUUUAAAUUGUACGUGUUGAGAUGUUAGUUCCCCCCCUUUUUUUUUUUUCUGCUGAGUAGUUUGAUUGUGAGAGAUACAAAAGAGAUGAUGACGAAGAUGAUGACGUUAGGACGGGUAAACUGCAUUAUAAUUGCACCAGAAGUUUCUUUCCUUUCGCCGCGGAAAAUACUACUACUAGCAUGAAGUAUUAGUGUGGUUUCUGACUCAAAAAAUUAUGCGACUCGACACGUGUUGCAGUCAUUAUUAUUGUAAUUUCGAACCCAAAAAAAAAUAAAGUAUGAAAGGUGGGUAGAAGUCAUCGACACGGCAUGAGUUUUCAUAUUUGAGUCUAUCUAACGAUGCACCUGUUAACCUGUAUUUUUUAGAAAAACAAUAAUAUUAAUUGUGAAUAAUAUAUAAAUGUAUAGAAUAAUAGUAAUUGUUAGUAUGUAUAAAUAAAUAAUAAAUUGAGUGAUAUUUCAGGUGUAUCAAUAAAUGCUUAUUUAGAGUACCGUUAAAAAAAAAAUUCUUUAUAUUUAUGGACACAAGCCAUCAUGAUAUUAACUAGCUGGUUACAUCUGGAUGAUGGAAAUAUGCUGGAGAUAUAUGUUACUACUAUUUCCUAGUUUCCUUUUACCUUUACUUAAUUUUGCUGUUUUAUAAUUGAAAUGAGGGUUAAGUUUUUCUAAAUUCAAUAUUCUUAUUGAGAAAAUCAACAUAAAUACAUUCUUCUAUCUUACCCAUUGCUUUGCUCGUCUAAGCCUUUCCUUCGUGAAUCCUGCACUAAAUUCUACUCCGACCAUGUGUCCUUGCUCAUAUUACAAUUUACAAGCACACAAUUUUCUCAAUCUUUAGCCAGCAUACAUCAAUUUGACAACAAUAAAGUGUUGACCCUCAGUUUGUGUAUAAUUGCAAAGCACUUGAGCAUUAAACUCCUACAAUUAGUUAAUGGGAAUUGCUGCAUAUGGAUUGGGAUGACGAGUCUUUCUUCACCUUUUCGUUUCUUAACAAUUAUUGGCCUUUCACCGCCACCAUAAAUGCAUCCUUUUUUUUGGAGUAAAUUUUAUAUACAUUGACUGACAGUGUAUACACUAUCACCCCGUCUGAUUCAUGACAUGCGUGUAAACAGUAAAUUUUAAAUUCAAAUUUUGCAUGGUUAUCAUUCAUCCAACGCUGACAGUGUACAUGCUGAGAAAAGAUUACCCCUUUUAUUUUUUUCACCACGAUUGUGAAAAAAGUUCUAAUAAAAAAAAAGGGAAAAAAAUUAAUCUCAAUCGUACCGCCACCGCAAUAAUAAUAAUAAUUAAAAAAGAAAAGGAAAAAAUGCAUCUCACGCAACCUUAAUAAAUUUUAAUUACCCUUCUCCGAGUCGAGGAAGGACUUUGGAAAGCGCUUCCAAAAUUGUAUAAAAAAGACCCGCCCCGAGCCACGUUCCAAUUUUCGUCCCUCGCUACUCAACAAAUUCUCAGGUAUACUAUCUCUGCACAAGAAAGGAAAAAAAAAAAACCCCUAAUUUCUCUCUCCGUCAGAUCGAUUUAUUUACUAUCCUUCAAUUCAGCAAAUUAAAAUCACCACACCAGUGAUUCGUCUGCUCUUAUUUUGAAGUAGUAUUAUUAUUACACGCAGCAAGAAAGGAAAAAUAAUUACUAGUAGCAACAAAAACUCUGAUCGAGUUUUGAAGAGUAAAUCGAAGAUGGUAGCGGAAGCAGCAGCAGCAGAUAUAUUGUUUCAUCAAAG